UUAGUUCCAAAACUUUAAUUUGUUAUAAUUUCUGGCUCAAACUUUCUAAAUUGUUAUAAUUAAAAAAUCUCACAAUCUAUUUAAUCGAGUAAAUACUGAUGUGUCUCUAAUAUAAAAAUAAUAUAAUAGUGUUAUAAUGGAUGACGCGAUAAUAAUUAAUAUAUCAAAUUACUUCCACAGUAACAAUAAGCCAAUUUCUAGUUAAUUAAGUUAGGCAUUGAGACUUAAUUGCAUUAACUUAUAGAAAUUUAACAGUAAAUUAUAAUAAAUAAAAGUUUAAUAACUAAAAUAGCAUGCGCCUCAUAGUUUGAAAACCAAAAAUGUAAUUUAAUCAUUAAAAUUCUAUUUUUUAAAUCUCCGUGAUUAAAUGCAAUUUCUCCUCGCACGCGAGGCGCUCACGUGGUUUAACUUUUUGGGAGAGGUUGACUUUAGAGGCUUAGAAUAAUUAACUAUUAAUUAAUUAAUUAAUUAAUACAAAAGGAUCUACAUCUACAUCCACUUAAUUGUGUCAUAUAACGCUUUAGUUAGAUUUUUUUUUUUUUUUUUUUGGCUGCUACUGUUUAACUACAUUGACUUUCUUUUCUUUUUUUCGUUUUAAGUUGUCCUUUUAUUAAGAGUCUUUUUCAUAUACAACAGCUACCAUAAUGUGCCCUCUUUAGUGUCCAUUUAUUUUCAAUAAAUAUGAUCGUGAAUGCUAAUUAUAUAAUCAUAGGUUCCUUUCAAUAGGUUCCUUUCAACUUUAUUUAAAAUAUUUAUUAAAGUGCAAUUUUUAAAUAUUAUUUAUAUGGUUACACAAAGAUUACAAAAUAAAUAGCUAAAAAUAAAUAAUUUUGUGAAAAUAGAGACUAAAAUUUCAAAGGCAAUACGCGGUGAAAAAAGUUUCCAUCAAAACAUUCAACUGUUUUUACUUAUUGAAGACAAUUAAAUAAGAAAAUGCCUUUUGUAGGCUCUUCAGAAAUUAUCGAUUUCGAAGUUUUUGAUCACUGAGAAAAAUAAUUUCAAAAAAAAUUCAUUCACUAAAUUGGUUUGUUUUCUAAAUAUUGCUUUCAAAUACUCUAAUAUGUGAAGGUCCGCGAUGCUGAUCAUUAAUUCGAACUUGCGAACAUCCAAAAUGAGACUUCAUAGGUAACUAUUUUUAUCCUAUUAAUAGAAUAAUAAUAGUUAGGCUCCUGUGUGAAAGAUAUUAUUAAAAUACUCUUUAUUUAAUUUUUUUAAACAAUAUAAUAUAGAGUUAAUUUUAAGCUCCUACCAUGGAAGGUCACGAAUUAGAUUCCCUUCUCUUUUUUUGAGAAAGAAUUAGAUCUCCUUAAUGGGUCCAAUUCAUCAAUUACAUUUAUUUAAUUAAUUAAUUUUAUUCCUACUGUGCUUUUUGAGACUUUGACUCAAACUUAAAAUUCAGACACAAAAAUCAAAUUGCGAUAACAUUGUAAUUAAUCUGAGGGUAAAUUUCAAUUUGUUCUACUGUGAUUUAACUUAUUUUUAUUUUCACAUUUUGAUACAAAAAUUGAUUAUUCUGCGAUGUAGAUUAUUUUUAUUUUGUCAUCCUGUGAUUUAGAAAGUUAUCCUUAACUAUUAAAAAAAACUUUGCUUUUACUAUCAUAUUUGAUAGUAGAUUUUGGAAUAAAGAUAAAAUCAUUAAGUAUAUAUAAUUUUUUAAACUACGGGAUGGUAGAGUAAAAAUAAGCUCCCUUAUAAUUUAAUUUAAAAAGCUUAGAACUAAUGCUUUGUAUAUCCUAUGUAUAAACUAAUUAAGCAUUGUUUGCUUAAUCCUUCUCUUCGUUAAUUAUUCAAUUAAUUACUGGCCGUUGUAUAUAGACAAAAUUGUACAAGUUGUAACUAAUUGAACCAUAUGGAAGAGUCCAAUGCGAUUUGUUUCAUUAAAUGCAUAUUUGACUGAGCAUACAAAUUUUUAAAUAGUAAAUGUCCUUGAAUUUUUGGGUUAAUAUCAACUAUACCCGACAAAAGUUUAAUAAUAUAAAGGUUCUUAAAAUUUGAGUCAAUUUCAAUCGUAUUCGGCGCAGCUUGAGAUCGCAGAUUACAUUACGUGUCGUGAAAAAAUACGCCAAAAAAUAUCACGUCCUGCAUAUCGCGGUUAAUCAAUUACUAUACAUUUUCUAUGAUCUUAUCAGAAACAAAAUGUUCGAGAGUAUUUGAAACUUUUAGAAAAUAAAGUUUAUAAAUUUUUGAAAUCAUUAUGAAGUCCAUUAAACGAGUAUAAAAUGAACGGUUAAAAUCGAAUGACAUCCCAAAAAUAGAUGAUCGGAUUCUUCAAUUUAAGAUCGGAGUUAUUGAUCUUUAUUUAGAUAGUGAAUAAAAUUUUCUAUCAAAAAUUCAACCUAUUUUGAUUCUUUUUCACCGUUAAACUAGCAAAUAUUUCAUACCGACCGUUAAAAAUUGUCAAUUUUGUGACCGUUUGAUCAUAAGGUAAAUGAUAUCGAAAAAUUAUAAAAUUUAAUUUCUAGAAGUUUUAAAUGCUCUAGAUAAUGUUUAACGGUAUGGAUCGUCGAUUCGGAAGCUCUAUCUCUCUCUCUCUCUCUCUCUCUCUCUCUCUAUAUAUAUAUAUAUAUAUAUAUAUUCUUUUUUAGAGUAAGGACUCAGUAAACUGAAUAGACAAUGAUGGCCAAUAAGAAAGGAGACACAUCUCACUGAAUAGGAUAAUGAGUGCCAACAAGAGUGUCCACAGUUCGGUUCCAAAUCGUAAACUAAAUCAAAUCAAAUUAAAUAAAAUAAUUUGGUUCGAUUUAUACACUUUCCACUUCGGUUCGAUUUUGAAAAUACUUAAAAUUUGAUUUUCGGUCAUGUACGGAUUUUAACACUUCUUUUAACUAGGCCCGGGCGAGUGUUUACCAAAAACACAUAUAAUUAGGAGUCCGGCUACUAUACUCUUAUGAGUACGAUCAUCCUCGUACUCAUAAGUUGUUUUCGAUGAUAGAGCUUUCGAAUCGAUGAUCUAUACCGUUAAAUAUUACUAGAGCAUUUAAAACUUCUAUAAAUAAAAUUUUAUAAUUUUCCGACAUCAUUAACCUUACGAUCAAAAGCUCAUAAAAUUGACAAUUUUUAACGGCCGAUAUAGCAUGCUUGCUAGAUUAACGGUGUAAAAAAAUUGGAAUAGUUUGAAUUUUUGAUAGAAAAUUCUAUUCACUACCUAGAUAAAGAACAAUAACUCCAAUCUUAAAUUGAAAAAUCCGAUCGUCUAUUUUUAGGACGUCGUUCGAUUUUGACCGUUCAUUGUAUGCCCGUUUGAUGGACUUUAUUAUGAUUUCGAAAAAUUACGAAAUUUAUUUUUUAGAAGUUUCAAAUACUCUAGAUCAUAUUUAAUGGAGUGGAUUGUCGAUUCGGAAGCCCCAUCAUCGAAAACGACUUAUGAGUACGAUGAGCCCAAUACUCAUAAAAAUAUAGUAGUCAUACUCUAUAAUUAGUUGAAUUUUUGUAUCUAAAUCAUAUAUUUAAAAAUCAUAUUUAUGAUUAAAUGUUAAUCACACAUCAACACACUUUUUUAAAAAAAUCUAUGUUUAUGGUCAAUUAUUUUGUGGGUAACUUUCAUGAUAAUUCAAUUGUAAUUCUUAAAUAAUGAAUUAAUUCAUAAAAAAAAAGAGUUUAAAAGUUACAUAUGAAACUGAACCAAACAGAAUUAGUUUGGUUUGAUUUGGAUAGGUUCCAAAAAUAAAUCAGUUUGCUUCGGUUAUAGAUUUUUUUUCAAACAUAAAAAAUUGGUUCGGUUUAAAAUUUUUUUAAAAAAUCAAACUAUACUAAAAUCGCCAUUCCUGUCAAAUCCCCAUUAAAGGAAAAAAAAAAAAAAAAUCUCGCGUCCCUGUCCCCAGCUCAGAGGAACCCCACAGAUUUUUAAAAAAUAUACUAAAUUUUUUUAUUAAAAAUUUAAUUUACGUUUAAUUUAUAUGGCCAAUUUGCAUAAAAAAUUUACUAAUUUUGGACUUUUACAAAAGUGGACCACUUUUUUCGAUUUUGCAGAUUCGGGCCGAAAUUUCAGCAAACUGACCAAAAUACCCUUAGGUAGUGUUUGGUUCGGGAACAAGGGGGGGAAUAAGCCCUUGUUCCCCCUUUUGUUCCCAAACGCAACGUUUGGUUCCCGGGAACAGUAGUUCCCGGGAAUCUGGAACUAGCUGGUAUAAGGCUGGAACUGCUGUUCCACCCGUUUCCUGGAACAAGCUUGUUCCUUGAUGAGAACAAGAUUAAUUAAAAUCUAAAUUUAAUUUUAAUGGCAGUAAAUUAUUAAUUAAUCUAAUUAAUAUAUUUAAAUCAUUAUUUAUUACUUUAAUAAUUAAAUAAUUUAAAUAAUUUAUUAUUUAUAAUUAAAUAUUAAUAAUUAGAUAAUUAUUAUUAUUAAUUUAUUAUUUAUAAUUAAUUAUAAAUAAUUAAUAAUAUUCAUUAUUUUUUUAUUAAUAAUUAUUAUUCUUAAUGACAAUCGAUAUUAUUAUUAAUUUAUUAUUUAUAAUUAAUUAUUAAUAAUUAAUAAUUAUUAUUAUUUAUUAUUAAUUAUUAAUAAUUUUUAUUCUUAAUAAUUAGAUAAUCGAUAUUAUUAUUAAUUUAUUAUUUAUAAUUAAUUAUUUAUAAUUAAUAAUAAUUAUUAUUUAUUAAUAAUUAUUAAUAAUUUUUAUUCUUAAUAAUUAGAUAAUCGAUAUUAUUAUUAAUUUAUUAUUUAUAAUUAAUAAUUAAUAAUUAAUAAUAAUUAUUAUUUAUUAAUAAUUAAUUAAUAAUUCUUAUUCUUAAUAAUUAGAUAAUGGAUAUUAUUAUUAAUUUAUUAUUUAUAAUUAAAUAAUAAUAAUUAUUAUUAUUUAUUAAUAAAUAUUAAUAUUAAUUAUUAUUAAUAAUUAGAUAAUCAAUAUUAUUAUUAAUUUAUUAUUUAUAAUUAAUUAAUAAGAAUAAUUAAUUAUUAUUAUUAUUUAUUAAUAAUUAAUAAUAAUUAUUAUUAUUAUUAAUUAGAUCAUCCAUAUUAUUAAUUUAUUAUUUAUAAUUAAUUAUUAAUAAUAAUUAUUAUUUAUAAUUAAUUAUUAAUAAUUAAUUUCUUAUUUAUUUUUAAGUAAUAUUUUUAUUACUAUUAAUUACAUAAUAUAAUUUUAAUUUCAAAUUAUAAUUCUUAUUCCUCUUGUUCCAAUCUAACCAUCCAAACACUAUUUGUCUUAUUCCUAGGAACAACCCAAUUUUCAUACAAACGCAAAAUUGGUCUAAUUCCUGCUUAUACCUAAACUUGUACCUAUCCCUAGAACUAGCAGUUCUUACUUAUACCCGAACCAAACGCAGCCUUAGGUGUCGUUUGGUUCGGGUAUAACGUAGAACUACUAGUUUUAGGGAUAGGUAUAAAUAUUGGAACUAGCUAGAACUAUUGGAUUUUUGUGUUUGGUUUAGUAUUAGAUUUGUACCAGGUAUAAGAAAAAUAGUGUUUGGAUGUAUAAGAUAGAAUAAGAGGAAUAAAUAUUUGUUAGGGAUUGAAAAUAGAUAACAAAAAUUAAUUAAUUAUGUAAUGAAUUACUAUUGUUAAAAAAUAAUACUAAUUAUUUAAUAAAUUUUUUCCUGCCAACUUGCGCUCGUUAUCUAUUUUCAAUAAAAUUUUUUCUAAAAUUAAAUCUAUUUAGUUUUACUGUAAUUAAAUUUAUAACAAAGUUACCAAAUUAAUAACUAUAAUAAAACAAAUUAUGAUUCAAACAUUUUUAUACACAUGUUAUAUACCAUUUGUUACAAACAUUGCCUUUCCACCUUUUACAUACAUUCCAAUCCAUAUUGCAAACAACAUAUUAAUAACUGUACAAUAUUAUUUCUAACCAUGUUAUUAAAUAUUUAACGCCACAAAGGCUAUGUUACAAUCUUUACAAAACAUUGACGAUAAAACAGUAUAAAAUACAAACAAUCCGUUAGCGUACAUUACAAAAACAUAGCAGACAUUAAUAAGUAUGCAAUAAAAGCAAAAUAUGUCUACAUAUUUUAUAUAAACACAUAUAAUUAGCACACAUGAAAGCAAACUCAUUUAAUACAAUCCAAUGCAAACGACACUCCCAGAUAAUUAACUUCUACUAUUCCAUAACUGGUCUGUAAUAUUAGUUCGAAUAUCGUCGCCCCGAUCUGACUCCGAUGUGGCGGCCAAGCCGAAAUCCCUAGGGUCUUCUUCUUCAUCCUCAGGAGACGAUGGGUCAAGCUCUUCAGUAAAAUAUCUAUUAGCUUCGUGAUGUCGACGAAUAAAGUUGUGUAUAACACAACAUGCCAUACCAAUAAGACAUUGAACUUUAUAGGGGAAUGGAGUUGCAUUAUUUAGAAUCUUAAAACGCUUCUUCAAUAUGCCGAAAGUCUUCUCUACUAUAUUUUGUAGUUGAGCAUGCCGAUGAUUAUACAAGUCUCGCGGACUGCGAUGUGUGCGGCCACGUGUAUUACCCUCAAAUUGACUAAAAUGGUAUCUUUCUCCGCUAUAUGGAGCAAGAAAUUUAUCUGUAUUAGCAUAUUAAGAAUCUACCAAGUAAUAUUUGCCUGCGAAUAUUGUCGAAAAAUGCAAGUUCGCAAUUUUAAAUAUAAGAUCAUUCAUAAUUAACAUGUAGUAUAAUCAUUCGAAAAAGUAAAUAAUCGAAUUAUACCUUCGGGAACAGUAAACCCUCCACUUUCGCAAGCCUAUCUUAAUACUCUCAUAUCAGCUGCUGAAUCUUCCCAUCCUGUACAUACAAAUAGAAAUAUAUGAUCAAAGGAUACAGCAGCCAUCAUAUUCUGUGAUGUAAAUCUUUUGCGACACCUAAAUCGUGGUUGCUUGCUCUUUUGGACAACCACGAGAAUAUGCAUACCGUCCAAUGCACCUAUUGCAUUCUACAAACCACCAAACAUCAUAUUACACAAUUAAUGCAAAAUAUGAAGUAAAAAAUAUAUUAGUUAUACUCAACCUUGAAGGAUGAAAAUUCGGAUUAUCCCUAAUUCUUGGAUGUACUGUAGUAUAACUCGGUGGCAGGGUUACAUAAUCAUCUUUCAGCAUAACAAUUCCGCGAAGAACAUUAUUAAAAUGUCGACUAAUAGUUUCACCAGAAUGUUGAAAAGUUUCUGCCAGUACCCUAUUUGCAACUCCAUGGCCUACGCAGAAAAGAAAAAUUGCUAACUGUUCGUCAGCUGUCAUAUUUCUUGUGCUAGUUAUCAGCCCUCUUCCAACAAGCUCAUCACGAAGCGCAAUGAAUAUAGUGGUCGUCAUUCGAAAAUGAUUAUACCCUCGAUCAGGAUGACCAUUCAAAAUAUCACAGAUUAAUGGAUGGCCAGUGAAAGGCCUAGUACGACAUUGUCGCUUUUGAGAUGUAUUACUAUAUGUCAACUAUCCUUGAUUAAUGAGCACUAUAAAUACUUGCUCCCAAUAAACAUCAUCAUCGUCUAAUAUUGUCAUCAUAUUGCUUAUCACAAGCGAAGAAAACACAGUUGAAUAUAACGACAUUGUGAGCACGACUGCAAAAAGAUAAUAUUCAUCACCUCAGUCAUGACAUCAUGUGAAAAAUAAUCAUUACAUAAAGGUAAAGUCACAUGUAAAUCGUACGAGUACAUAGAGUCGACAACAACAUAAGAUAAAUGCAACGAGUAAUGCAGGCAUAUGGAAAUAUGUUACCACUGCAUCUAAAGCCUACCGAGUACAUAGAGUCAAGUAUAAUAAAACAUACAUGCAAAGAGAAAUAGCAGCAUCAUGAAACAUACAAACAACUGCGUCUAAACCGUAGACAAGUACAUAGAGUACAUUAAAACAUAAGAGGAAGAGCAAAGAGUAAUCCUAACAUAACGAAACAUAAAGCAUGCAAAAUCGUCCCACCAACAGUAAAGUCGUCUCCUAGAAGUCCGGAAAAUAUUGCUUGUAUAUGUUUUUUUGCGAUGCAACUUGCUGGUCAAUCCACAUGCAUGCAUGCUCAUCUAGCAUCGUCAUAAACAUUUGACGAUUCUUAUCCUCUUUUAACACAUCAGCCGCUGUCAUAAUGCGCUCAUUUGUCAAGCCAGGUAGACUAUAGAUUCUUGCCAUGUAUGUUUCGAUGCUAGGGAUGGAUGAUUGUUUGUCGAUCUCCUUAUGGCAAACCUGUCGUACUAAAUCUAGUCUUUGUUGACCCUGCACUACUAGUUCUGCUACUAGAUCACUUGUUGUUUCAAUUUUUUUGCGUCGUCCUCGAGAUGACGAUGCAUGUUUCUGUGGAGGAUUGCUAGGCUGUGGAGAACGAGCCCUUUUCUGGCCAGAGGAGUUGCCAGAGCCACUAGCAUUUGCUCGUGCAGUCGUAGGAUUACCAGUCGGGCUAGGAGACCGUGAGUUAGUACCGCUUCUGCGAUUGGCAUUGAAAGCAGAGCCAGAUGACCUUGCUUCUGUAAGGACUGAAAUUUUUUUUACAGUGCAACUAAACUCUCUGUUGACGAUGUUUAUGUGUGUAAUUUAAUUACAUAAGCACUCGUCAAGUUUCAGGAGAAAAUGAGCUAAAACGGAGAAGUUACGCGAUUAUUAGUUUUCACUUAAGUGAAUAGUAACUCCGGUUUUCCGGUAAAGCCACGGAGUAGAGUUGGCUUCUGGUGCGUAUCGGACUCCGUUCAUAUCAGUCCAAUAGCUCAUUUCGAAGGAUUCAGCUAUUCUGGAACUAUUGGCGCUGACGGAUUUUGAGUUUGACGCACGGAUUUCGAGAAAAUCCAAAAAUACAUGUUUUAUAUGUAUUUUAAAGAGAGGAGCAUAUUUAGCAGGCAUAGCAGUCAGACAUUAUAUACCCCCUGGCUAAUUAUACAAAAGCUUAGAGCAAACUUGGAUGUUAGGGCAAGUGAAAUUUUGUAAGACAGACCUUUAUCGCACAGUCGGGCCGUUUAGUUAAUGAACAGGGAGUGUUUCCACCAAGAGUGGGGAGUUCAACACCAAUAGCGUGCCGCCGUGAAACUAAAUACAAUGCAAAGGGAAAAAAAAAAGGUUCGGCAUAAAAUAGAUCACAAGUUCUGACUCUCCCAGGGCACUCGGCGGUAUACGGUAGCUAGGUAUGAAUAACCCGUGGAUACGACACCCCAUUGUAGCAAAUAGCAGUGAGAGGGAGGGGAUAGCUACAGUACCGGAGAGAAGCUAGACACAGACGCGGAAUAUGCGGUAAACUAACGCGGGUCGAGCGAAGCACAAAAAACAUGACAGAGAGGGAAAGAGCACAGAUAAAAGAUUUUUUGUUAAUAUAUACUAGAUCUAGAGAUCUCUUGUGUAGGGUCGCAUCCAGAGGCGCAAAAUAUACCGAUCGCCGGCGUCGGCCAACCGAGGAGUAAGACGAAGGCUAGCGCGCGGAUGAUGUGAGCAACGAGGUCGGAGGAGGAAGCGGAUCUUCUCGAUCGGCGACGCACAGUAAAUCGGCGGAGGGAAGAGGGCUAGGAAGGGGAUCAACGACUUCGAGAGUCACACGGUGCAAGAGGAGUCAGUAUGAGGUAGCCGCCGAGCUCCGGUGGCACCUAUAUGUCGCCGAUCAGAGAGCGAUCAAAGCCGCACAGUGAACCGGAGGAAAGAGGUAGCGGAAAAAAGGAUCAACGGCUUCAGAGAGACAGAUGGCGGCUGAGACGAAGAUGAGGUAAGCAGUCCAGCUCCGGUGGCACCAGAUCUGUCGAAGAAGGACGAGAUCGCCGAUCGAAGCGCACAGUAAAGCUGGAGAAAGAGGAAGCGGCAAAAGGGUUCAAGGGCUUCGGAGAGACAAUGGCGCCGAGGAGGAAGGUGAGAGGAGCCGUCGAGUCGGCGCCACCAGAUCUGUCGAAGAACGGACGGAGAUCGCCGAAACGAAGCCGCAAGUAAACGGAGGAAAGAGGAAAGAGGAGAGAGAAAGGGGAUCGAAAAAAUCGGAGAGAGAGAAAAGAGGGGAACAGCGCGGCGUAGUUCUAAUUCCACUCGGGUGGGAACAGCUGUUCCACCGUUAGCGGUAUCCAAGGUAACCCGCUAAGGUGGGAACAGUGUUCCCACUUAGCCUAUUUGUGUUUGGGAAUCUAGGGGGAAUUAACCCCUUAUUCACCCCUAGUUCCGCCAACCAAACGGUACCAAAGAAAUUUUGUGCUAUGAUAUCGAGGCUAAUAUACUCGAAGAUGACGGAGCUUGGUGGAUUGAUUCGGGUUCACAAGGCAUGUGUGCAAGGAUAAAAGUUUAUUCAAACUUAUGAUGCAUUGGAGGAUGGAAACUUCUCUAUAUGGCAUUCUUCACAGCACAAAUCAAAGGAAAGGGCAAGGUGGAACUCGAGUUCACAUCAGGAAAAAACUCUCACUCUCACCGAUGUGUAUCAUGUACCUGAAGUUAGGAAAAAAUCUUAUUUCAGGAAGUCUUCUUAACAAAUUUGGGUUCAAACUUGUAUUUGAGGCGACAAAUUAUUUUGUCGAAGGGUGGAAUCUUUGUGGGAAAAGGAUAUUUGUAUGAGGGCAUGUUCAAACUCAAUCUUAUUAAUAAAAUAAAUAUUUCAGCCUAUAUAUUUGACUCUUCUUCUUUAUGGCAUAAUCGUUUAGGACAUGUUAAUUAUAGAAAUACAAAUAUGCUAAGUUAGAGUAAUCCUAAUUUUGAUAUAAAUUAGAAAAUGUAAUACUUAUUACUAGAAAGUCUUUUCUAAAAUUGAUAAUGUUCUAAUCUACUUGAGUUGGUACAUAGUGAUUUUGUGACUUGCAUGCUUCUCCUUCUAUUGGUGGAAAGAAAUAUUUUGUUACAUUUAUUGAUGAUUUUUCUAGAUAUAGUUAUGUUAUCUUUUGCAUUCUAAAAAUGAAGCGCUAGAUAAAUUUAGAAUUUAUAAAUCUGAAGUUGAGGUGAAAUGUGAGAAAUGGUCAAAUGCCUAAGAUCAGACAAGAGAGAAGAAUAUUAUGAUCCUUCAUUUGAGUCCAUUGGUAUUAUACAUGAAACCUCUGCACCUUAUACUCCACAACAAAACGGAGUUGCAGAAAGAAAAAAUAGAACAUUAAUGAAAUGUCCAAUGCUAUGCUUUCUAACUCUGGGUUAAGUUAUGGAUUUUGGGGCGAAGCUUUAUUAACAGCUUGCCAUCACUACUAAAUGAAUCCAACAAAAAGAAUGAUAAAACUCCUUAUGAAUUAUUCAAGGACGAAAGCCCAAUUUAAAUUAUUUAAAAGUUUGGGUUGUAGAGCUAUUGUGAGGGUCCAGAACGAAAAGAAAGAAACUGGGUGAAAGAGGAAUUGAGUGCAUAUUAUUGGGUAUGCACAAAUAGUAAAGCAUACAAUUUUACGUGAUUGAAUCUAAUGACUUCAUUGAGAUCAACACAGUUUUUGAAUCUAAAGAUGCUAUAUUUGAUGAAAACAGAUUUGUAUCAUUCCUAGACCCAAAGAACUUAUUGUGAGUAAAGAACACUCCAAUGAGAAAAUGAUGUUGCAAUUGAAACCCAGAACUUAGAAGGAGGUAAAAGAGUUAGAAUUGCUAAACCAUUGACCAGAUUUUAUACUUUUCUUGUUGAGGUAGUAGAGAAAAUGAUUACAGAAAGUUUGCAAUUUUGUUUAAACAUUGACUCAGACCCCACAACAUUUGAGGAGAGAAAUCUCCUGAUGUCGCUUUUGGAAAGAAGCGAUAAAUGAUGAAAUGGACUCAAUUAUGACAAACCAAACAUGGAAAUUAGUUGAUCUUCCUCCUGGAUGUAAACCUAUUGGGUGUAAAUGGAUUUUCAAAAAGAAACAAUGUAAAUGGCACCAUAGAUAAAUUCAAGGCAAGACUGUUGCCAAGGGUUUACAACAAAAGAAGGCAUUGAUUAUUUGAUACCUAUGCACCUGUUGCCAGAUUAGCGACUAUUAGAACUUUGAUUGCUCUUGCAUCAAUGUAUAAUUUGAUUAUUCAUCAAAUGGAUGUUAAAACAGCAUUCUUAAAUGGAGAAUUAGAUGAGAAGUUAUAUGGAAGCCCAGGGCUUUGUUGCCUGGACAGAGCACAAAGUGUGUAAACUUAUCAAGUCGUUGUAUGGCUUAAACAAGCACCUAAACAAUGGCAUCAAAGUUUGAUCAAAAUUGUUCUUUCCAUGGUUAUAAAAUUAAUCAAAUCUGAUAAAUGUGUUUAUAGUAAAUUUUCAAAUGGUAAAGGUGUUAUUAUAUGUCUAUAUGUUGAUGACAUGUUAAUUUUUGGCACCGAUGUUCAGCAAGUAGAAAAUACUAAAAAUUUUUUAUCUUGCAAUUUUGAUAUGAUAACAUAUGGGGGAGGCUGAUAUUAUUUUGGGAAUUAAAAUUAUUCGUGAAAAUAAUGGAUUAUUUUUAACACAGUCUCAUUAUAUCGAAAAGAUUCUUAGAAAAUUUGGUUAUUUUGAUUGUACUCCAGUAUCAACUCCUUUUGUCCUCAUCUAAAACUAGUUCGUAAUACUGGUAAGAUCAAUUAAUCUAGUUAAAAUUCUAAGAUUAUUGGAAGUUUGAUGUAUGCCAUGUCUUGUACUAGGCCUGAUAUUGCAUUUGCUGUGGUAAAUUAAGUAGAUUUACUACAAUCCAGGUAAUGUACAUUGGCAUGCUAUUUACAGAAUUUUGAAAUAUUUGAAAAAGACAAUGACUAUGAAAUUUUCUAUAGUGGAUAUCACAGUAUUGAAGGCUAUACAGAUGCCAGUUGGCAUAACAGAUCAAGAAGAUCAUGCAUCCAACAGUGGGUGGAUAUUUAUAUAGGUGGAGGUGCAUUCUUGGGGUUCUAAGAAACAGCAACAUGUAUAGCGGACCUACCAUGGCAGCAGAAUUUAUAGCACUAGCGUCUGCUAGUAAGGGAGCGGAAUGAUAAGGAAUUUAUUAUAUGAAAUUCCAUGGCCAAAACCAAUGCCGCCGGUAUCGCUACAUUGCGAUAGUGAAGCUACGCUCUCAAGAGCAUAUAGUCAAACAUACAAUGGGAAGUCAAGACAUAUUGGAUUAAGACAUAGCUAUGUAAAACAACUGAUAUCAAAUGGCAUAAUUACCAUUGAUUUGUAAGAUCAAACCAAAAUCUUGCGGAUCCGUGACUAAGGACUUCAAGAGAAUUGAUAUUCAGACAUCGAUGAGGGAUGGUCUCAAGCCCAUAUUACAAAGUCACCAAUGAUGGAAACUCGACUUAACACUGAAACACAUCAAGUCUUAAGUUCAAUGAGCCAAAGUACAUCAUAUGGAGUGUGAUGCAAGCACUAUAAUAUAAAUUUCCAUCCCAAGUAAAGUGCUUGGUAUCCGUAUUGAAAAGGGAAGGUUAAACUAAUAAAGUCUUAAUAGACCUACAGUAGUAUUUACUGAAGUGUUAAAUACGGGACACUUCUGGUAGAGUCUACCUAUAUGAAUGUGAAGUGUGGCCGCUUCUAGGAGUUAAGGGCUUGACUCUAACCAGCACCAUGAAACAGGAUGGCGGACACAAGGCCAUAAAGUCAGCAAUAAAAUAGAGCAUCGACUGAUUAUAAAUUUCUAUGUGUGAGAUAUGUCCGUUAGUCGAAAAUAAUUGUUGGUUCAAAGCUUGUCUACCAUUCAAUUAUGACUAACUUUGAUGUGUUUCACUAAGUGUAGGUUCAAGUUUUAAUACACCUACACCUAUGCAUACGGUUUUGUCAAGUUGUCAAGAAUUUUGAUUUGAUUUUUGAUCUUAUUUUAUUUUGCCUUUUGAUGUAUUUUUAUGUAUUUUAAAAUUUGGUGGGAAUUGUAAGGAAAAUUUUAAAAUAAUAUAUUUUGUUUAUUGUUUUUAGUGAAUGGAUGUGAUUCUUCGUGAAAGGAUGCAAUCCUUAGUGAAUGGAUGCAAUCUUAUGAAUGGAUGCACCUUAGUGAGUGGAUGCAACUCUAAUACAAAGGUAUGACUCUUAGAGUGAAAGGAUGUGACUUUUAGUGAAAGAAUAUGAUAUGAAAAGACAAUCUUUAUAGUGUGUCUCUUCGUACAUAUGCCCGUUGGAAUCCAAUGUUAUAAUUCAUUGAACAUAUGACAUANNNNNNNNNNNNNNNNNNNNNNNNNNNNNNNNNNNNNNNNNNNNNNNNNNNNNNNNNNNNNNNNNNNNNNNNNNNNNNNNNNNNNNNNNNNNNNNNNNNNNNNNNNNNNNNNNNNNNNNNNNNNNNNNNNNNNNNNNNNNNNNNNNNNNNNNNNNNNNNNNNNNNNNNNNNNNNNNNNNNNNNNNNNNNNNNNNNNNNNNNNNNNNNNNNNNNNNNNNNNNNNNNNNNNNNNNNNNNNNNNNNNNNNNNNNNNNNNNNNNNNNNNNNNNNNNNNNNNNNNNNNNNNNNNNNNNNNNNNNNNNNNNNNNNNNNNNNNNNNNNNNNNNNNNNNNNNNNNNNNNNNNNNNNNNNNNNNNNNNNNNNNNNNNNNNNNNNNNNNNNNNNNNNNNNNNNNNNNNNNNNNNNNNNNNNNNNNNNNNNNNNNNNNNNNNNNNNNNNNNNNNNNNNNNNNNNNNNNNNNNNNNNNNNNNNNNNNNNNNNNNNNNNNNNNNNNNNNNNNNNNNNNNNNNNNNNNNNNNNNNNNNNNNNNNNNNNNNNNNNNNNNNNNNNNNNNNNNNNNNNNNNNNNNNNNNNNNNNNNNNNNNNNNNNNNNNNNNNNNNNNNNNNNNNNNNNNNNNNNNNNNNNNNNNNNNNNNNNNNNNNNNNNNNNNNNNNNNNNNNNNNNNNNNNNNNNNNNNNNNNNNNNNNNNNNNNNNNNNNNNNNNNNNNNNNNNNNNNNNNNNNNNNNNNNNNNNNNNNNNNNNNNNNNNNNNNNNNNNNNNNNNNNNNNNNNNNNNNNNNNNNNNNNNNNNNNNNNNNNNNNNNNNNNNNNNNNNNNNNNNNNNNNNNNNNNNNNNNNNNNNNNNNNNNNNNNNNNNNNNNNNNNNNNNNNNNNNNNNNNNNNNNNNNNNNNNNNNNNNNNNNNNNNNNNNNNNNNNNNNNNNNNNNNNNNNNNNNNNNNNNNNNNNNNNNNNNNNNNNNNNNNNNNNNNNNNNNNNNNNNNNNNNNNNNNNNNNNNNNNNNNNNNNNNNNNNNNNNNNNNNNNNNNNNNNNNNNNNNNNNNNNNNNNNNNNNNNNNNNNNNNNNNNNNNNNNNNNNNNNNNNNNNNNNNNNNNNNNNNNNNNNNNNNNNNNNNNNNNNNNNNNNNNNNNNNNNNNNNNNNNNNNNNNNNNNNNNNNNNNNNNNNNNNNNNNNNNNNNNNNNNNNNNNNNNNNNNNNNNNNNNNNNNNNNNNNNNNNNNNNNNNNNNNNNNNNNNNNNNNNNNNNNNNNNNNNNNNNNNNNNNNNNNNNNNNNNNNNNNNNNNNNNNNNNNNNNNNNNNNNNNNNNNNNNNNNNNNNNNNNNNNNNNNNNNNNNNNNNNNNNNNNNNNNNNNNNNNNNNNNNNNNNNNNNNNNNNNNNNNNNNNNNNNNNNNNNNNNNNNNNNNNNNNNNNNNNNNNNNNNNNNNNNNNNNNNNNNNNNNNNNNNNNNNNNNNNNNNNNNNNNNNNNNNNNNNNNNNNNNNNNNNNNNNNNNNNNNNNNNNNNNNNNNNNNNNNNNNNNNNNNNNNNNNNNNNNNNNNNNNNNNNNNNNNNNNNNNNNNNNNNNNNNNNNNNNNNNNNNNNNNNNNNNNNNNNNNNNNNNNNNNNNNNNNNNNNNNNNNNNNNNNNNNNNNNNNNNNNNNNNNNNNNNNNNNNNNNNNNNNNNNNNNNNNNNNNNNNNNNNNNNNNNNNNNNNNNNNNNNNNNNNNNNNNNNNNNNNNNNNNNNNNNNNNNNNNNNNNNNNNNNNNNNNNNNNNNNNNNNNNNNNNNNNNNNNNNNNNNNNNNNNNNNNNNNNNNNNNNNNNNNNNNNNNNNNNNNNNNNNNNNNNNNNNNNNNNNNNNNNNNNNNNNNNNNNNNNNNNNNNNNNNNNNNNNNNNNNNNNNNNNGAUUCAUAUAACUAUUUGGUAGUUAUGAUCAAAUGAAAAGUCACAAUCGAAAGGUCACUUCACGAAACACCCUUUCGUGAAUAGUUACUUCAUGAAGCACCCGUUCGUGGCCUAUAUAAGUCCAUAGCAUUGGUUGCAGAAGGAUAUAGACAGAAAACAGUUGAAGAGUUGAAGUCUUCAUUCAUAAUAAUUCCAUUCUUGUUUUAUAUUCUAUUUCUUUUGACAACUUAAUCGAGUGAGUGCUCAAAGGCUCGACUUCGUGUGUGCAAACGCAGUUGAGGUUUACGCUUCAUUGUAUCCUGGGAGGUUGUUCGUUGACCCGGUGCACACCAAAUUGUUAGAACGGUGGGGACGGAUUAAGCCUUAAGAAAAGUGGCAUUGCUACACGCCUUGAAGCCUUUUUAAUCUUUCUAUUUCAUACCUUUAUCACAAUCUGUUCCAACACUAUUUACUAAAGAAUUUUCUUGUAUUUUAGUAGACCUAACGAUCUCGAUCCAUACCCGCAAAUUUAUGAGUAUGGGUACUAGUUUUUCUUAUUAAAAAAAUUAUGGAUAAAACGGGUGGGUACCCGUUAAGUGGUGAGAAUUUUGAACAACCCGUGGGUAUUCGCGGAUACCCGCAUAUAUAUUUUUUUAAUUAAAAAAUAUAUAAUCUCUAAUAUUGACUUUUUAAUGAUAAAAAUUUUAUUAACUUCGUAUCAUAAAAAUUUUGGAUGAUAAAAUAUUUGUAUAUUAUAAAAUAUAAUUUAUAAGUUUGAAGAUUUUAUAUUAUUUAUUGUAUGUUAUGAUAUUUCAAACAAAAAAUUAUGUUAUAUUUUAAAAAAAAUUAUAUAUAUUUUUUAUUUAGAAAGUAUAUGAGUAAAAAAGAAAAAAAAUUAUGGAUAACCUGCGUACCCACUUGCCUAUCUGUGGGCAAGUGUGGAUAAAGAUGUUGACUAUUCAAAAUUUUAUGAAUAAAUUUUAUCCAUAUUUAUUUGACCCGCAGGUACAGUGACCCACCCGUGGGUUAUCCGACCCGCCUGUUUGCCAGGUCUAUAUUUUAGAUCGUGUAUUGUUUACUUUCCAACAUUAAAAAUUAUAUUAAUUUAUUUUCUUACAUAUUAUUACUAUUUUAAACAGGUUCUAAAACUUUGAAUAAUUAUUAGUAAAAUUUCACUAAAACAUCUCCAUAUCAAUUACAGUUUAAAAAUUUAGAUACUAUCAAAAUUGACAGUUUAUAAAAUAACUUAGUUCAGUUUAUAUUAUUCUAUUGCGUUAAUUCUAACUAAUUUUAUCCGCCAACUUAUUUCUAUAAUAAAAUUUUACAGCUAAAUUUAAUAAUAAUUAUUCUAAUUUUUUGGACCAAUUUGAAAUAAUGGUAAACUAUGAGAGGGUAAUUGGUGCAAUAGGAGAAAUAGUUUAAAACAGGGGCUAAAGUGAAAAGGUUUUUUCAAAAAUUUUAUAUAAUUUUGCCUUUUUAUGGGUGAAAUGGGUCGGGCUCAAAUUGGACUCCAACCAAAGUCUAAGCCCGGCCCGAAAUAAUUAUUUAACAAAAAAGCCCAAAGAAACUAUUAAAAUAAAUACAAGGGCUUUUUUUUUUUUUGGUGCACUAAAAGCCAUUGUGCCAUUAUACGUAAAAGUGGUACUAUCGUACAUAUCGUAGAAUACAAUACUUGUCUAUUCGACGAGGAUUUUAAAAUUUCAAUCACCCGACCCAACAAAAAAUAUCAAAACCCAAAUGCGAACCGAACGAAAAAUAUUUGAACUGAAACAAUUAUUUCUUUUUUCAAUAUUUCAAAAUCUAUUAUGAUUAAAUCUAAAUUUUUAAAUAUACAAAUUAAGAUAAUAUUAAUAUAUAGUUAUAUUAAUAUAUAUCUAUAUAUAUAUAUAUAUUAUAUAAUAUUUAUAGUUAUAGUUUAAUAAUAUAUUAUAAUAUAUAUUAUAUAUAUAGCAAAAUGAAAUCUGGUUCGGUGGGUUGGUGGGGGGUCUCACUCGGUUCGGGUUCGCGUCGGAUACAAUUAAUUCAUGUUCGAAUCCCAGUAUCCGGCGCGUUUCUAUUUCUUAUUAUCCAUAUCCGAAUCCAUAUCCAUAUCUCAUCGGAUAUAUCGCGUUUCAUUCGGAUUUGGAUUCGGAUAAAAUUUCGGGAUAUUCAUUCCAUUGACAUCCGUACCUAAGGGUGGCAUUAUUCGCGUUCUUCAAACGAAUUACAAAUCGAAUCGUUGAAAUCAGGACUCGGUCAACUAUUCGCGCGAAUCGAUUCUAAAAUUUAAAAACUGGGAAAAACGAAUAAACUGAAAUUUUAGUAAUUCAAUAUGUAUAUGUCUUUAAAUUUUUUAAAAAAUAUGAGUUAAUUUCAAAUAAUGAUUAAAUAAUUAGAGAUAUUAAUAAGUAAUACUUAGAUUAAUAAUGUUUUUAACAUAAAAAUUAAUCAAAUUAUAUCCUAUUUUCAGAAAUAAACCAAAUCGAAUAUGCCAUUUUUUUUUGGGUUCAGUCCAGCUCGGUUUAUGGCUCUAAUUAAUUCAGUUCGGCUUUUGGUGUUUUAAAAAGCUGCAAAAUUCAAAAAAAAAGAAUAGGCAUGAAAAUUGAUAAAAUAAAUAUAAAGUAGGAAGGAUUAAUAGUGCAACGUUCUUUUAAAUAAUCUGAUAAAUAUUCAAAUUGCACAAACUAUUUCGAGCCUAAAUUUUGAAUACCCAUCAACUUAUCGAACAUGGCAUGCUCUAGAGACCCAACGAAUUAUUAGUGCUAACUGGCUGAACCGUUACGGAUAUAUUUAAUAUGAUUGAAAUAACAUCUCUUCAUUUUACCAAAGAAAAAGCGAAAAUGAUAAAAGCAUUUGGGAAUGAUAUGUUAUAAGUACUAUGCAACAUUUUGUGUAGGUUUAUGUGCAUUAAAACUAGGGAUGUCAACGGGUCGGAUUCUCGGAGGGUUUUCAAAAAUUCGAACCCGAAUUCAUCUACCAAACUCAAAAUUCUGAAUCAAAAUCAGACGAAUUUUAUGAGACAAAUUUCGAAACACGAAUCCUAACCCGAAAACCCGAAUAUGAAACAAUUAUUUAUCUUCACCAUAUUUCAAAACAUAUUAUAUUAAAUCUAAAUUUUCAAAAUACAAAUUCAUAUAACAUCAAGCAUUUAUAUAUAUAAUAUAAAGUCAAUUCAGGUUCAGGUCAGGUUCAAGUUCCGGUCAGGUACAGAUAAAAUCCAUAUUCAAAUUCAAAUUCAUCAAAUUUUUACUUUUAAUAUCUGUAUCUGAAACUAAAUUUGUUUAGCAUCAAAUAAAUCCGCUCUGUUUGGAUUCAGAUUCAAAUAAAAUUUAGGUACUUGUACCUAUUCACACAUCCCUAUUUUUGACACAUUGAAUGCUUUUUGUACAAAAGAGCAGGUGUCAGUUUCAGCCUUUGCUAUGCAUAUGGGUUGUAGGAGGGAGCAAGAAAAAUUAAGGGGAAAAAUUGGACCAUAAACAGUUAUAUAAUGGUGGGGGCUCAAAAAGUUAAUUUGUGGUAGUUGUGGUUGAUGUGUGUGUUAUUUAUUUAUUUAUUUAUUUUCUUUUUCAACAUGUUUUUGUCUUGUGAUUUGUAUGAUUAACAGCAUAGAGGGUGCAUGUUGUAGGGUCACCAAAGGAGAGAUUCUCUCUCUCUCUCUCUCUCAAAAAUAAAACAAAAUAAAAUUAAAUAAAAUGAAGAAGUUAGCUAGUGCAUGCACCCAAUGCAUCUACAAAGGUUUUAAAAUCAAGAGUUAAUUCAUCAGAAUUUAAUUUGAUAAAAAAAACAAACUAAUGUGACAUUCGAAAGAAAAGCCUGUAUACGUAGGGUAAUAUUUACUUUCUUAAUAAACAAUCUUACUAUUUUAGUAUAAAUAUGUUGACACGGUUAUAUGCUUAGUUACGAAUGUACGUCGUUCAGAUAUCUUAAAUCACAUCUAACAUAAUGUGGAAGCUAUGUAUUUGAGAUGUUACUUAUCGAGUAUUAAGUACAGCGCAUGAGAUGAGAUGUACGAAUGCACUAGGUGCUUAAGAUAACACCAGGUGCUUCUCCUCUAAUCAUUAUCUGAAGGUUUCAUAAUCUUACUCUAUUCCAAAAUAACUAACUAUUAGUACGCGAAAAGCUCGAAGGAUUAAACCCCAUAAACAUGUAGAUGCAUGAUUCAAAACCCUGUUAUAUAGAAACACUUUCAGAUUAACAAUCACUUCACUAGGCAAUGGUUCUUUUAUUAGGCUUUUCCUUUUUCAUAAGCUAGGUUUAGUUAAGGGUAUGCACUAGGUGCUUAAGAUAACACCAGGUGCUUGAUCUCCUUUAAUCAUUAUCUGAAGGUUUCAUAAUCUUACUCUAUUCCAAAAUAAUUAACUAACUAUUAGUACGUGAAAAGCUCGAAGGAUUAAACCCCAUAAACAUGUAGAUGCAUGAUUCAAAACCCUGUUAUAUAGAAACACUUUCAGAUUAACAAUCACUUCACUAGGCAAUGGUUCUUUUAUUAGGCUUUUCCUUUUUCAUAAGCUAGGUUUAGUUAAGGGUGGUUGAACACUAGAGAGAGAGAGAGAGAGAGAGAGAGAGAGAGAGAGAGGAGCAUCAUCAUUGAUUUCCAUGUGCAAUAUAUGUGCUCCUCAUUUGUUACAUGCAUGCCCUUGUUCUCCUAAGUCCUAACCACUCCCCUUUUGCUUUGGAUUCUCCUUUAUAACCUUUUUACCUAUAUGUAGCUUCCUAGUUUACACUUUUUUUGUUCUUUUGGGCUUAAUUUUGUUGUUCUAAAAUAUAAUCCUUCACUAUAAAACACUAAUGAUUGGAUGAUCCAAGAUUAGGUGUGAAAACAGAUCGAUUACGGUCGGAUAUUGGACAAAACCAUAUCCACAUUCAUAUUUUUUUUCCGGGUACGAAUUUGGAUACAAAUAUGUGCUGAAUGUUAAAUUUUUAUUACCAUAUCCGCUAAAAACGGAUUCGGAUAUGAUCGAAUGUUUUUUCAGAUUUGAAUAUAGACCGAAUAUAUAUUCGGAUACUACUAUACACUAAUAUGCACAUAUAAAAUAAACAAAAAUUAUAGAAAAUUAUCUCAUUUUUUAACCUUACUUAGUUACCUUAUUUUUUUCACCAAUAAAACAUGCAAUUUUAAUAGAAAACUCAUAAUAGACAAGCGAAAUAUAAAAAAAUUAUUUUAUUUUUUCACAAUUUAUAUUAACCCUCACCCUUAUCUAUUUACUAAAAUUCAGAUAUACGGAUACGGAUCCGUUUUUAUCGGAUAUUCAGAAAUUUUUGCCCUUCUAAAAUCAUAUCCGCAUUCAUAUUCGACAAUAUCCGGAUAGAAACUAUCCGAACCCAGAUAAUAGUGAAUACGAAUACAAAUAAUUUUGGAUAAUAUCCGAUCCAUUUUCACCCCUAUAUCCAAGAUGCUCCUCCAAUCAAGUAAAAAUUAGCCAAAAUUGAUGAAUAGUUAAAACCCUACCAAUAAAUAUAAUAUAAUAUAAUAUAAUAUAAAUUAGUUAAAGAGAAAGUUGAGCACAUGCAUGGAAAACAUUGGCCCUCUAAAAAGUUGGUUUUGGUAGUCCUCUCCCUCCCUACAUUCACGCAACUUUUGCCUCCCCAUUUCUCUCUCUCUCUCUCUCUCUCUCUCUCUCUCUAACAAUUGAGGAAAAGGAAAGGAAAAUGAAAAAAGAAAGAAAAAGUGUGGAGAUCAUCUCAACUAUAUAUGUGCCAUUUUGAGUGACAUUUACUUACCUUUUGAUUUUUUUGUUUGUUUUUUUUUUUUUUUGUGAAUUGAGUGAUUUUAGUUGUAGUUAAAUUAGAGAUUUUUAUUAAAUUUAAAUUACUUUGAGUUAACAAAAGUAGAAUGGGUAAUGACUAAUAGAUGACAAGGCCAUUAAAUUUAACAAAAUGUGGAAGUAAAUUUAUCAUAAUAACUCAAAUCUAACACUAGAAAUAAGUAAGAUAAAUUUUGUCAAUCUAAAAAAUAAACUUUGGGGUGCCAUUCCACAAUUAAUGUCUAUAAUUCAAAGAAUCAAAGUACUUUUUUUUUCAUCAAAGAAAUCUCCACAACUUACCCUCUUCAAUCCUCUAAUCCAUGCUCUCUCUCUCUCUCUCACACUUAAAAGGAGAGCAAACUACACAACUUACUCUCUUUCUUUCAACAUCUUCCAUCCUAAUUCAUUCUCUCUCUCAACCCCCCAAACAUUGAAACAAAGCAAACUCCACUUACUUCUUUCUACAUUCCCCCACCCCUCACCACCAAAGAAAACAAAGAGAGAGAGAGAGAGAGAGAGAGAGAGAGAGAGAGAGAGAGAGAGAGGAGAACACAAAGAGAGAAAUGCACCUCCAACACUUGAACACCACUGCAAACACCACCUCCCUCUUCUUAUCCUUCUUCUUAGAUGACCUCCUCUCCUUUUGCACCUUCUUAGCCUCCCACCCUCUCCCCUUUGCCUACCUCCUCUUCUUCUCCCCUCACAUCCUCUCCCUCCUCUCCUUCCUCUCCCCCCUCCUCCUCUCCACCACCCUUCUCCUCCUCACCUUCACAACACCUUCUCCUCAUGCACUUGAUGAUGGAGAGCCCACUUUGCACCCUCCUAAGUUCCUCGGAAAAACUUGCGCGAUCGCUCUUCAACUCCUCAAGAAGAUCGAAGCCGCUCGCGACGACGAUACCGAGGACCCGAUCGGGCUAGUCGAGCAUCUACAUUGGGUUGUGCUUUCGCCGUGUCGCGAUGCUCCCACUCUUUGCCUUGAUGAUGAAUCUAGCUCUAGUUGCAAACUCGAAGAAAAAGGCGCAUUUGCGCAUUCUUUAGAGGAAUCCAAAGGUGCUAAACUUAGCUCAUGCAAUGAACACAUUUCCGAGAACGCGUCGAGAGCGACGGAGAGUUGCGACGACUCGUUGAGAUCUUGUUCGAUAAGGCGAAGAGCUCUACACACUCGAGCGGCGUCGGAGGGAGUUCGAAGGGAAGGAUCGAUGAGGAAGGAGCGAGAGUGGAAGAGGACGCUAGCUUGCAAGCUCUACGAGGAGCGGAUUACGUUUAAGCUACACGACGAGAGAGCGGUCGACGUCAAAGGGGGCGAGGAGAUGGACUUACUUUGGGAGGCUUAUGAGGUCAAUGCCAGUAAGAUCAACAAUGGAUGGAAAAAAGAGAAGAAGGGAGUAAAAGACGAGCGUAAAAAGGAAUUGAAAGUAAAAGCAGAAGCAGAAGCAGAAGAGGAGGACGAAGAAGAAGAAGAAGAAGAAGAAGAAGAAGAAGAUGGAUCAGUUAGACAAGUGUGUUGCCUAAAAGCACUGAAGCUCUCAACAGGCAACAUGAAUUUAGGAGUUGGAAGGCCAAAUUUGAUGAAGAUAUCAAAGGUUUUGAAAGGGAUGAGGAUGUUUCAGCAUUUUGGUAAGCAUAGUAACAGUAGAAAGAAAUGAAAUUGACCAGAUUCAAAAAUAUGAAAUAAUAUAAUAGUAGUACGUAGUAGUAAUAAUGAUGAUGAUAAUAAUGUCCCUUAUGUGUAGGUAUGUGAAAAAUUAAAAUGGUGAUUGAUCAUGCAUGAUCCAUGUUUAUAAUAGCUUUUUUGUUUUCUUUUUGUUGUUUUUUUUUUUUUUUUUUUUUGAGGAAUAUAACAUCUAGUAGUACUAUUUGCAUAUAAUUGUUAUUGUCUUAGUGUUUGUAAUUAUUUAUCACCAACCAAAUUUUCCUUAUAUGGAUUGCCAUUUCUCACAAGGUAAAUUACAUUCAGAAAAAUUUAAAUUCUCUUUACGGAUAUAUAUAUAUAUAUAUAUAUCGUUAGAGAUUCAAUGUAUCUGCUAUGACAAUAUCAAAACUUACUUUGGUAAUAUCAAAAAUUACUUUCUUUUUACGUCGCACCUAAAUAUGUUCUUUCAUGGUACAUCUCCUUUAUUGCUGCUCCAAGAAGCUUCUUUUUCUUCUAACAGAGGAUCAAUUUGGAAUUUAGGUCCAAUUAAAGCUGAAAUUUGAUCCAGAGAUAUAUUAUAUUAUGUAUAAAUGAUACACAACAUUGUAGUACUCAAUAUUUUAUAUCUUGGUGAUAUAUUGAUGCUAUUCUUUUAUACAUAUAUUAUAUAUAUAUUUCCCCCCACUUUUCUUAUCUUUAGACUCUGUUCUUUACAUGGUCAAUUCAUGUGUAAUGAUUUUGGUCACCCACAACUAUUACUAGCAUGAGAAGCACCCAAAAGAAACCAUCAAAGAGUUUGCACCUAUGACUCUUCACUCUCCAUCCUCAUCAACUAAAAGAUUCUUCCAUGUCCCCCCUUUUGCAAGCAUAAAUGUAGCUUACCCAUUACAGCAUGCAACUUUUUUUUAUCUUACCAUGUGAUGGUGAGACUCAAAUCAAGGACAAUAUGAUAAUUUUAAAAUUUAAUAAAGAAAACUAAUAAGUCGCGUUAGGUUUAGUUAUGUUUCCGACAUCCAAACAAGCUCUAAGGGGUAGUAUAAAUCAAGCUAGUAAUACUAUCUAUUAGUGGCUUCAUUUAGGGACAUCUCAAAUUCCUUUUAAGUUGAGCGACAGCAAAGCUGAUGCGACCACCACGUAAGCUUACGUCGUAGGAGCAUCAACCUCACUACCACUCGAGUUAACGGGAAAUGAUGGUCUCGCACUCCACUUCGACCUCAGUGUUUUGAAAGUUUGCGAACCGCAGAUGCGAUUUACCCAUUCGAAACUGCAGAGAAUCAAAGAAAGAAACAUAACUUCCCUCAGAUGCAAUUGACAAGAUAACAGCAAAUGGUUCAAAUCUAUAAAUUAUACUAAAAGCUAAAUCUGCUAUUGUUAUUUAUUCUAUACAAACAGUAAGAAUUCUAUAUACAUCACCUUUAAUAAUAAAAACAAAGAAUGUGUUUAGUGUGUUCCAAUCUAUAAUCUUUCGAAGUCUCUGCAGUCUCAUGUCGUAAAAAUAAUUCCGUGAAUUGGAGGAACCAACAUCUUAUUUUCCAGCAGUAUAUGAGCCAGGAAGUGGAAUUCAGACCUAGAAGCCCUUGUGAAACAAAGGUCCAAUGAAUUCUAUUAUAUCGAAGUGUUGAGAAGUCACGGUGAACGGUAGGCUCUGUAGAUCGCGAAAACGACCAAUGGAUGAAAAGCAAGUGAAGAAACACUAUCUUUAUUGGUUUUGAAGCUCCGAUUCUGUGAGAACGGCUGUCUCAGUAUUUGGAGAAUCGUUCCCCAUAUCCUUUGUCUUGUGUAGAAGGAAAGUUCCCGAGAGGAUGGUAACAAAGCCACAAAGUUCUGUAACGAUCUGUGUCGCAUUCUGCGAGUCCCAUUCCUGGUAUCAAAGAGAGUAAUAUUAUGGACUUGCAUGAGAAGCUGAAAAGCUUGGGAUAAGAGUAACCCAAAUAGAAAUAUGCUUAUACUAAUAAUUUCGAAAAAAAAAAAAACUUAAAGAGAGAGAGUAAACGGAGUAAACUGUAAAAGAAAUAGCGGAUAGUAUACAGGAGUACAACAACUGUAUUAUCAAAGAUUUUAUUUCAAUGCAAUUGUAUUAAUCAAAGAUUCUACUUUAAUGGGCUCAGACUUGAAGUUGUAGUUGAAGAUCGCACAGCUAAAUAGUACCCGACAAUACGUUUUGAUUAAAAAAAAAGAUUUCAGAAGUACAAUGCAAUUCAAGCUCGCACAGGCAACGACAAGCAGAGUAGAAUAUUGAAAGAUCAAAGGAAGGGAAAAACAGCAUUAAUUGAAAAGAAAAAAAAUAACAUUAAGAAGAUACUAAUCGAGUAUGUCACCUUAAACAUGAUCAUGCUAGCAAAAAUAGUGAGAAUGGUAAACAUCACAAAGUAGACCGGCGAUACAACGGCUGUAUUAAAUGUGUCCAAAGCCUGCAUAUUUCGAACAAGUCAUCAGAUCAUGCUCAAAAGCUUAAUAGUAAAUAUACAAAAACAAGUGAAAAUAGGGCAAUCAAAGCCCUAAAUUAUUUUAACCUUAUCAUUCCUCUGGUUCAAAUUCUAUGCGAUUAUUUGCCACCAUAUAGUAGAUUGUUUGCAACCUAACUCUAACAGCUGUACUGUUCUAGCUUUUCCUUAUCUUAAAGUAUAUUCCUCAUCAACAAAUCAAUAUUAUAUGUCAAAUACAACCACCAUGAAGUCCCGACUAAAUAUUGCUUAUAGCUUCACUCACAGCAAACACAAACUCCAAUUUAAUAUUAUUAACAUUGAUCCAUGUGCAAAUAAAAAGAUUCAACUGUAGAAUGGAUUUCCGAUAAGGUUUUAUACUUACAAACUUUUAUUCUAGAUUAUACAUUGUUUUGAACCAAAUUUACCGACUAGGGCAUAAAAAAUUACGCAUAAGAGCUGACUCUCCACUUUCUAUAUUGAGUUAUUAAUUACCUUGUUUAAGUAGUUCAGUUGCACGAGACAACAGAUAAUGACAACAGCUGAGAAAAACCAAGUUUGAACAUAAAUAAAUUGAUUCAUUCCUGAAAAUGACAGCUUUAAGGCGAUUCCCACAGCUUUCACGCUCAUAACCUGUUGAAGAUGACAAAUUUGCAAUUAUGGGUCGAUUAUUAUUUAUAUUUGAGACCCUAUUUGGGUGUGAAACUUUUGCAAAAAUUACCGUGAGAGAACCCAUCAAUGAGCAAAUUCCAAUAUAUAUAACCAUGUGCUUUUGCCCAUAGCGUGGAACAAACCGAAUAAUCAGAACAAGAACUAAGACCGCAGCCACGCAGGAAUAGAUAAGAAAACCUGUUAAUGAAACAUUAUUAGUUUGAAAUUAACUAAUGGGAAUCAAAAUUAAUUUCGGAAAAACCAGUACACCAAGGGAUAAGAAUAAAAAACUCAUCAGGGACCUAGUGUUAUUGCUAAAAAUCUAGUCACGGAAGAAUCUGUUGCUGGCAUAAUUUGUCUUAUUAUGGGGAAAAUUACUCCAUAUAUCAGAAAAUUAUCAUAAAGUUUCGAUUAAAUCACGAGCUUUAGUUUCUGUUAUUAUGGCAACUGAUGUGCUGCAUUUCGAUUUCCGUUACGAUCAGGUAUGUCCAGUAGGUGCCGAUACAUUUCCUUAAUAGAAAGAUAUAUAGCUGUUGAUUUAGCUGUCAUGUUAUUAUUCUAAAGAGAUGACAUAGCAAUGAAAUUAGUUACCAUGUUAUCCCAUUUCGUUAGCGAAAUUUAACGGCACUUGACUGGCAAAACCAAUUGUUACAAAACAUGAAGUUUUUGUACACUGAUUGAGAGGAAUAAAGUUUGGUGAACCAACCCAUAAGAACUGUUAGUAUGAAAAAGUAAUUAAACAUAAUUACCAGGUUCAGUUGCGAGAUGCCACACUUCCUUCACCGACUCGAUGUUUCUCUCUUUAGGGGCAUGCAAAACUAUAGUUGUAGAGCCCACAACGCAGAGAACGCAGCCGAGGAUACCAAAAAUGUGCAAUUUCUCGCCCAAAAUGAAGUGUGCAAGUACUGCACUGUAAAAUCGAGAUAUUUAGCACAGAAAAAUGUAAAUCAUUCAUUUCCAUAAGUAAUGGGUACCAUUACUACCUUACAAUUAUGCUCAGAGCUCCCAGGGGAGUAACAAGUAUUGCGGGAGCAAAUGCGUAUGCAGCAAAAUUAGCAAUCUCACCAACAAUCACUAGAAGAGGAGGAGAAGGAAUUAGUAGCAAAUAGUGAAUUUGAAAUUCCAAAACUAAAACAUAAUCAAACUAUGCAGCUUGGAAUAUUCAAACGACUGUUUAUAUGGACUUAGAAAGACAACCAAAGUAACAUGAACUAUAUGGAGGCUACUAUCCAAUCUUAAAACUUAUCUUCAAGAAUUUCCUUAACAUCAUUAAAAGAUAAAUUAAGCAUUUGCAAUGAUUCAACAGUCUUUCUGCAAAAGGUUGAUAAGAAAAUAAUGACGGUUUAGUAUAAUAUAGUCAUUAGGAAACUGGCCCAAGUUAUUGGUUAGCUAAUCGAGGUGUGGUCCAGGUCCAUGAAUAGCCCAAUCAACGAAGACCCAGUUGACCCAAAAUAUCAACAAGGUAUGAUUACUAGACUUAAACCAAUCCAAACAACAUCAAACGGUCAAAUGACUUUCCCAGAUGUUUGGUUUAAAAAAAGACAGAAGAUGUUGUGGGACCUCCACACCAUAGGAUAAUUCAAACAAUGUGCUCAUCCUUAUACAUGACAAAGAAAAUGUUAUCAAUAGUACCACAUGGAACACCUAGAUGGUACUAAAAUAAUAUUAAUACCAGCUUAUGUAAGAUCAAACUAAUGGUUAUAGUAACUAAAAAGCGAUGAAAUGUCAACAGUAAAAGUAAUAUGUCUCCCUCUCUUAUCCCAAGAAUUAUACUUUGACCGAGAAUAUUCUCUUAGUGCGAGUCGUAAGCAUGACCUGUAUCACUCUCUACCCAUACCACAACUAAUAUAGGUGCAUUUUAUAUUGUUUGAACAUCAAUAGAAUAGUAAUUAACUUGAAAUUUCGAAAACUUCAUUCCGUGAGUUUCGUCCUAUUGAAGAUAUACCAUAAAAACAAGAUUAAAUGGCUGAUAAUUUUCCCAAUCCGAUUAACACCCAAUAUAAUUUGUGGAAUGGUAAACAACAAUGUACUUGUAGAGAAACAUGGAAUCUACAAUACUACUUCGAAUAACACGAAAGAGAGGCAAAGUUUUGAGCAAUAUACUUACUAGUAAUCAUUCCCAGCCACCACAGGGGCUCGAUUAAGUAUGAGUAACCACCCGAACCUUGCGAAAUGAAAGUCGAAACAAUGUGAACAUCACAACACAAACCAAUCAAGCAGGAAAAAAGAAAUUUUUUUUUUUUCAUGAUUCAAUAUGAAAUAAUCAAGAGAAAGAAACAAUUUCAAAAAGCACCAAUUAAAACUAUAUUAUACGAUCUACACAAUGGCAAUAUGCUAAAAAGAUCACGUUUUUAUGCGAUUUCGACACGAAAUGAUCAAUACCCGGAUCAUAAAAUCCCCAAAAAAAUCAUAAAAAAAGGGGGGCUUGGAGGAGGAGAAGAGGAGGAGGAGAUGCACAACCUGCUCUUACCCCCGACAACGCGGCCUUUCUCAAUCCGAUCUUCUUGAUGACGAAGCUCGACCCGAUGAAGAAGCUCGAGGAGAGGGCCAGGGCGAAGCCCCGGAGGUUGUCCUUCGACAUCACCAUCGCCCCCUCACCCCCCCAAAACAAACAAAAAUAACAAAAACCCUAACACCCCCAACGCCGUAUCUACGAAACCCUAGCGCCCUCCACACAACGCGCACCAAACCGAGCGAGACCUAGACCAAACGAAACCCCGAAGAAGCGGCCAUUUCGCGCGGCGCGUCCUCCGACCUCGUGCUCGGCGGCGGCGGCGGUCGCGGUCGCGGUGGUGGUGGUGGUGGUGGCGACAUGGCACCGCCGCGGCGGAGAGAGAGAGAGAGAGAGAGAGAGAGAGAGAGAGAGAGGAGACGAGGGUUUCACGAGGGCAACACAACGGCAUUUGCGUUUCAUGGGGGGAGGUGGUGCGGAGGUCGCAUGCGACCGCGCCCGCAUAACGAAAACGGAGCGGGCGCUCCGCAUUCCUUGGGGGAGCCUCAUAAAUUGUAUAUGGGGACCUUACUCGAGUUUGGACAAAAAUUUUAGAAUUAAUUGCAUACAUGUCCCCCUGAAUAUAGUGAAUUACAAAUAUUUUUCUAUAAAAUUUAAUUUUUAUAAAUUAUUUAUGUAAAAAUUCUAAUGUUUUAAGAUAUAUACCGUUAGAAAAUUUUUUACAUUUCUAAUUUUGUGAUCACAAAUAUGUCCCUCCAAAAAUUAUAACAGUAUAACAUAAGAAGGGUAAAAAGAUCAAAAAUUAACUAGGAUUAACUAUUUAAUCUAUAGUUAACUAAACUUUUCUAACGAAUUCUAACAAUAAGGACAUAUCUGAAAAUAUUAGGACAUUUACAUGAAUAAUUUAUGAAAGUUUAACUUUACAGGGUUAUAUUUAUAAUUUACUAUAUUUAAUUUAUGAAAGUUUAACUUUACAGGGUUAUAUAUAUAUAGUCCGGCUAUGGUGCCUGUAAAAGCACCAAGCACUUCGUGCUUGUAAAUUUUUUACCGUUAGAUCUAUGCCUCGGAUCAUUUUCAUCCGUUAGAUUAUACUUUCAACCAAUCAUCCACUCAACCCUGUAAGGCCCACAUCAUCCUAACUGCACAUUCCUUAAUCUAAGGGCCGAAAAUUUACAAGCACCAAUGACUUGGUACUUUUAAAAGUAUAGGAGCUCAAUUAUAUAUAUGUAGGGUCUGUUUGGUUCAUACUGUGAAAAAUAAUUUCGAUGGAAAAAAAAAGUUUUAAGUUUUGUAUUGUUUAGUUUGAAGGGGGAAAAAAAUAAUUUUUUAUUAAUAUUUAUUUGGUUGAAAGAAAAAAAAUUGGUGGAAAAAAAUAAAUGAAAAUAAAAUUAAGCUGCUCGAGUUUUCGUUUUUUGCCGAAAAAUAGUGAAAAAUGAAAGCUUCAAUUUUUCUCCAAACCUGUAAAAAUACUUUUACGGCUAAUCAAACAAGUAAAAAAGCUUAAUUAGCUUAUUAAGCUAAUUAGUAAUUGAAAAGAAAAAUAUUUUUUUAAAAUGUUAAAAAAUAGUAUGACGAUUUAGAUUUAGUAAAUUAGGCUUAGUUUGGUAUUGAGGCCUAUCUAACGUUAUUAGAUAAAAUGGAGUUGAGAAAAAAACAUAUAGGGAUAUGCUUCUGCGUUCUCCGGUAGGACCGCAGAAAAUAUAUAGUGACUGACUCAUCGCGAUAUGCGGAAUACAAUAUUACGUACAGAAACAAACAUGGUAUUUUUCGAACGUACUUUCUCACCGCACGUAACGCAAUCUCUCCGUAAUCCCAAACGAAGCCUUAGUGAAACGAAGACCGAGUGAAUGAUAUUUUUAGGUAAAAAUGUAUAUAUUUUAUUUAAAUUGUAGCAUGUUUUGAAGUAAGUAUUUGUGCUUCAAAAUUUUUAAUUUUUUAACCUAAUAUUUUAUUAUUUAUUUCAAAUAAAAAUUUAAGAAAUUUUUUAUCAAAUUCAAAUAGAAUUUCAUGAUUUGUGUCAAAAAAAAUUGCGAAACAAUCUAUCAACUAACAAGCAAUUUUAUUAGAUUGCAAAAUCUUCUAUUAACAAAAAUAAAUUUUCUAAAUAAAGGACAAAAUUAAAUCAAAUACAUUACAAGGUUAAAUUAUAAAUUAAUUUUCUAAAAUUAACAAGUUUUAUAUUGGAUACUGUACACUUUCAAUCUCAACCAUUAAAUUUAUUAUUUUUUACAAAAUUAAUUUUUCAUGAAAAAUAAUAGUUAGAAAUAUACUACAUUGGCGACCUCAUAAGAUCUUCUAUGCGGACCUCCGUAUAGAACUUCGCCCCAUGCGGGGCCCUCCUGUCCACAUGUCGACGCUCUAUGCGGUGAUAAUUGUACUCCGUUGGAUUCGGAAUCAACGGAUGGUGAUGGGUUUGAUCGAUGCGUGCAUAAAUUGCAACUUAUAUUUGGUGUAUAUGCGAAAUAAAUCAUUCAAUUAUAUAUGUUUUUUUUAAAAAAAAAAAAACUUUUUUUUGAGAAUAAAAUGUUAAGUACAAAUAAGAGAAUAUACUUUGGAGAUAUUAAAUAAUAAAUGUCGCUUUUAUGAGAUUUGAGUGUAAUUUGAGGGACCACAUAUAACACAUUACGUGUGCUACAUAAUCAUUUUACUUUAAUAUUUUUUUUUAAUAUUUAACAACAAAUAUAUGUAAUUUAAAAAUUAUUCUUGGUGAUUUUGUUUCUUUAAUUUUACUAUCAAUAUUUUUAAUAAUUUUUUAAAAUUCUUUGAAAGCUAUCUAGAACUUAUUUAGCGAAUAAAUUACUAUACAGUGUAGAGCUACUGUGCUAUCAGAAGUAUAGAGAAUUUGAUACUUUCGAUUUUUUAACCCUUCGAUUAAGAAUUGUAUGGUUGAGAUGAUUGCGGUCCAUUCUAAAAUUGAGUAGUACCCCUAGGGUUGAGUGGUCUCCACAGGAUUAUCGUAUUAAUAAUGCAAAGGUUAAAAAUAAUUAAAGGGGCUGAUCUAAGGGCCAAAAAGUAGGAAGCGUCAGAUCCUCUGUACUUCCGAUAACAUAGUAGCUCUACUCUUACUCUCUCUCUCUCUCUAUAUAUAUAUUGUAAAAAGCUAAUAUUAAAAAAUAAAAAUAUAAAAAUAUAAAAAAAAUUGGGUCGAUCCAUGGCUUGACACGCAUGUUACACUUUUAGAGCUGUCAACAAGUCAAACACGAACGAGCUGGGGCUGCUCGUGUUCCAUCGUUUAUUAAACAAGUCGAAUACGAAUUGGCUCGUUAAAAUAUCAAGUCAAAAACUUCAACUCAUGUUCAACUCGUUUUAUUUACGAGCCGAAGACGAGCCGACUCGCGAAUAACAAGUUGGAUUGUCAACUCUACUACUGAAAUCGAAAAGUUGAAAAAAAAAAUAAAAAAUUAGAAUCUUAAUGUAAUAAUUAAAAUUUAUAAAAUAUAUAUAGGUUUCUUUACAUUUGAGUUGCCUAAAAUCCAAAUGAUAAGAAAUAUAUACAUAUAUGUCUGUAUGUAUGUAUGUAAUAUUCAAGCUAUAUCAAGUCGAACACAAACGAACUGAUUCUAGAACACGAAUUACAACGAGCUAGAUUACCGGCCUAGUUACACUCCUACCCAUGGAUUUAUGAGUUUAUUACUUUUAAAAUUGAAGAUUAUUAGUUGGUCUAUUUAAUUACCUUAUUAUAAAAUAAUACUUGAAUAUUUUUUAUUUAUCUUUGUAUAAGCUAAUAUUUUUAUUGCUCUAUCUUUAUCUAGCCAUCCAAAUUUAUUUUUCAUGCAGUUAAUCAUAUAAUGAACAAACUUAAAAUUAUCAAGAAUUGAUUUUUUUUUUUCCAAUUUCUAACUAUUUUCUCAUUCAAAUUUAAACAUGACUAUACUAAAAAAGCUGGAUAUGUAUUUAAUGUUAGUGAAAUUCUCUUUAUAUAUAAAAUAUACAAAAAUAUUAAGACACCAUAUAUACAUCAUGCAAACAUUUCAUUACAUGUAGAGAUCAAAUAUUUUCCCUAACAUACCCAAUAGCAUCCUUGUAGUUCUCCCAAAUGCUAAGCAACACCCUCCCCACCAUCUCCGCCGCGCCCUCGAUCAACUCCGGCAGUAUCUCCAGUAACUCCUCGACCCCUUCCUUCGCCUUCUCCAAGAUCACCACGACCCCCGACGAGGCAAGCUCGUACGUUCCCUCGACCGUGCUGCUGAGCGCUUCGAAAAAGGUCGAUACGACUGACUGAAUUACGUCAGCCAGUAGCCGAAUCGCAUACUCUGCGACCGCGCCGAGCAGAUCGGCUAUGCGAUCGAGCAAGCUAUCGAUCGCCUGGCCUGGUAAUUUGAGAAACCGAAUGAGAGCAACUAGGAAAAGAGGGACACCCCUAAAGACAAUAAAUGUGGCUAGCUCUAUGGAUGAGACCAAGGACCCAAUUAUUAUCCUUAGCAAGAAAAGUACCAUUGAAUUAUCCUUUAUAGGAUUUUAACAAAGAAAGAAAGAGAGAGAGAGACGUGAAGGUUUAAGAUCAGAACGAAAUGCGUAGUCGAUUAAUAAGAUGUGAAUAUUUUUGUACUAUCGCUUGUUGGUCACGGCGGAGAAAUUUAGGUUAUUUGAUAGUUAAAAAUUUCACUACGAAUCGACACGACAAGAGGAGGGAGAAGAAGAUGAAUUUUCUUUUUAUUUUCUUUGGAAUUGUUCUAUAGUUGAAUGAGUCAUAGGCCUGCAAAACUAGUACAAGGUUUUUUCCUUUGAAACAAUGGUUUCAUGUUGGAAUGUUGAAUUAGACUCCCUUGAACACACGACAUAAUAAAAGUCAAAGAACAUUCCAUUGAGUCUAUUUCUUGGGUAUUAAGAUUAUUAAAUAUUCAUGUUGUUUAUUAUAUUCUUUCUCUUGGUUGAAAUAAGAGGUUUUUUUUUUGGUUUUUUUCUUUGAUUGGCACUCUUUUUAAAUUUGAUUUGAGUUAUUUUCUACGGUUUCGUUAUCUGUUAAACAUUAAUAAAAUUUACAGUUUCAUCAGCUAAAAAGUGCAUAAGUAGUAGAGUUUAAUAGAAUCACCAUUGAAAUUAACAAAGUUCAAAAUUUAUUAGGUGAAAAAUUGCGUAAAUACAGGAAUCAAAAGUUGAGAGGGUCUCAAUCGAACGAAAAAUAGUUUUGACUUCAUGCACAAGUUCGGUCAAAUUAGAUGAAUAAAAUUUAACUACUAGAUGUAAUUAAGCUAAAUUGACUAAUGACAACUACACAUAGUAAUUAUUACAAAUCUAAAUUUUGAUUGGACAUUUAGCUGUUUUUCAUAUGACUUUGAACAUGUAAAAGAUUCUAGAAUCUUGGAAUGGAAUCUAAUGAGACUUGAACACAGUGACAACUAUGAAUGUCAAUGGAUAGGGGUAUCCGAAAUUUUAUCCGAAUCCAAAUCCGAAUAAAAUGGAUAUAUCCGAUGGAUAUGGAUGUGGAUUCGGAUAUAAAUAUCAAAAAUAGAAACCCGACGGAUAUGGACUCAGAUAUGGAUUUUGAUUGUACCCGACCCGAACCCGAAUUUAUUUUGUAUUAUAAUAUAUAUAUAUAUAUAUAUAUAUAUAUAUAUAUAUAUAUAUAUAUAUAUGUAUGUUAAUUUGAAUUUGUAUUUUAAAAUUUAGAUUUAAUAUAAUAUAUUUUGAAAUAUUGAAAAAAAAAUAAUGUUUCGUACAAAUUUUCGGGUUCGGGUUUCGGAUUUUUGUUCGGGUUCGGAUUUGAAUAUGGAUUUUUAAAAUCCGUCGGGUUCGAGUUCGGGUUCGGGUCUCGGGUUUGGAGUCCGGUUUGGGUUCGGGUUCGGAUUUUUAAAAAUUCGCCCCAAAUCCGACCCGUUGACAUCUCUAGUGACAACGAGGAAUUCUACACAGUCAGCACCACGUCAUCGAUAACAAACCAAUCAUAUUUCUUCUUUUCAAACAAAAGUAUAAUAAAACCGACCGUCCCUAGAGCAAGUGACAAAGGGUUUGGUGGUUGGUACCUGAGACCCAAGUUCGAAUCUUAGUUGAUUUACAUUUUCAGCUAAGUUUAUUUCUAAAUAAAAUAAACGAAGCGGGUAGCGUGCUACCUAUCUCUCAGAAAAAAAACAAAAGUAUAAUAAAAAAUAUUUUUUUAUAAUUAUGAUAGGACAUAUAUCUCUAAAAGGAGAUAUUUAAUUGAUUUGUUACGCCACAUCACCAAUAUACCCAUUGCAUUCUAGAAUUUUUCGGUGACAACAACCUUAAAUUAUUUUUUUUUUAAAAAAAAGAAGAAUAAAAAAAACACACACACACUCACACAUGUACCUGUAGGGGGGAAAAAAGAAAAGCUCAAUUUGAUAUGUGGAUUAAAGAAUUUGUUAUAAUAAACUAGUUUUGUUAUCAAGAACAAUUGCUUUUGAACUAAAGAAACAAGACAAAUUGCAAUAUAAUUCAGGUAAUUCAGGUAAAAAUGCACUGGGACCCCCCUCACCUUUAGACGACUAUGAAAUCACACCCUCAGCUUUUUCUUUCUUUUUUUUUUUUUGUUUUCAAAUUUCUUUCUCCAGCACACAAUUUUCACCAGUUAAAAUAGUGAUUUUAAAUCAAAUUUACUGAUGAUUCAAAGUUGAGGACCAAAAUCAAACCUUUAGUUCUAUAGUGCUUGUGACAUCCCAAAAAUCUCACAUCGAAUAAUGUGGGAAGAGUCUGAUGGGUUUAUCAAUAACGGACACAAUAGUAAUAAUAACUGAACUUAAACAUUUUGGAUUGAUGGUUUGGAUCGAACAAGUUAUUAUUGCUAGCGAAUAGGAUCGUUACAUUUGGUAUCAGAGCCUGGUAACCAGCCGAAAGUGUGAGAUAAAUCUUACAUCGCCAUAUGAACCUGGGACCAUAUAUAUGAUUGGGUCGGACUGACGAGAACGUCAGGACCUAAACCUAAACGAGGGGAGUAUAUAACAUCCCAAUAGUGACAUCCCAAUAGUCUCAUAUCGGAUAAUAUAGGAGAGUCUAAUGGAUUUAUAAGCAACGGACAUAUUAGUAAUAAUAACUGGGCUUAAACAUUUUGGGCCGGUGGUUUGGAUCCAACAAGUUAUUAUUGCUAGCGUACACAGAAUCAAACCUUUAGUUCUAGUCCUUUUUUACUCUUACACUUUUAAACAAAACCUUUAGUUCUAGUACAGGUUUCUAUUUACAGAAUCUGAACUACCAGUUUUUCUUAGCUUCUGUUUACAAAAAGCAGAUUAAAUCUAAUUCAAACUGCUUUUUCUCUCAGCUCUCCUUCAGCUUAUAAACAGAGUCAACAUAAUCUUCCACAUCCCAUAGAAAGGAACCAAAUGCAACAGCUUCCAGAACCAGCCUCUUCAAUCCGGAGGGCGAAACUCUUACUACCUCAUUGCUCUCAGCUUCUUUAUCUUCGCCGUCUCCGAAUAAAGCCCAGGUGUGCUUCUCGAUCACGCUGACGGCUUCCCGUGACCGCAGCUUCGCGCAGAGCUGCAGUACCUUCGAAUCGAAUCCCAUCACGUAACCCCUCAGUGCCGAAGCUUUUAGUCUUAAAUCCGAACCAGAGCGCGGAGAAGUAGAAGAAGUCGUAGCCGUGUCGAAAGAAUAGUCGAGAUGAAUAGAGUUCUCCUGCUUCUUUUUAUGCGGAUUUUGACUUCGAGCGUUCGCAAAGCAGUCGAGAGGAAGCACUUCUUGAAUUGGAUUCAGACUAAGCUCGAGCUGAAACCGCAGAGAAACGGACUUGAGAAAAUACCCGUACAUUAUGGAUGCGGCGUAGUGACGGCCGAAUUGAAGCCUUUUGAUCUCGAUCGAGUUGGAUUGACGAGUCCAUUUGAGGAUAUUCGAGAGAUGCUCUCUCACCAGUUCUAAGAUUUCUGGCUGGUGGACGGAUUCUAAACUCGUGUCCUUGGAUGGGCAUAUCUCCAGUUCUCCGUUGGUGAUCAAUUUGGAGAGUUUGGGAACCAUGGGGACUUCGAUUUCGGAGAACUUGUGGACAAUUGACAUGUAGAUGAUGUCCUCGACGGCAAUUUGGCACUCGUUGUCCUUCAUUUCUGCAAUUCUCCUGGAUUUGAUAACUCGUAAGUUAGGAUCACUUAGUUGUACAAAUUUAAACAUUGAGGAAUGCUUACGAAAUAUCAAAUGGGAAAUACGGAUAUCUAGGAAAGAUGAUAUCAUUACAUAUCAAAAGAUGAGAGAUAUUUUAUACCUCUUCUGAUUUGGUACAGAGAAGAGAAAAAAAAAAUACAAGAAAGGUAUGCUUUGAAUGACUACGGAAACUGAAAAAACAUCUUAGAAUCAUAAACACUAUUUCCAGGACGCCUCCAAUGCCUAAUAAAGCCAUAGGAUGUGGAUACAAGAACAUAUCAGUGUACUGUUAAACAAUAUAUAGUACUAUGUAGAUCCAAAGACAUCUAUAGUAAUCCUGCAAAGCUCUAACCCGAACUGCGAAAGGAAGAAGCUGGAAUUUACAUCAAUAGCUGUAUAUAGUUUCAGUUUGACCCACAGAAAAUUCCAACUGUUACAAUUGAGUCCUCAACUGUUGCAUUUUGUGCAAAUUGCAAUCUUACCCUUCUAGAGCUUUUGUGGCAUGGACAUUUUGAGAAGACAACAAUUAUUAAUACAUGAAUUUGCUACUUCAUAAGAUGAAGAAACAGGUGUUGAAUCUGGGCAACUUCAGUGACUGAUAGCGCCAAUUUUACUCGAUACUAGGGCCUGCUUCCUGCUUUCUCUUCUACCAGAAAGCACAACAAGUGUUUCUCCUUGCGAAGAAAAGCACUUUUAAGCCACUGCAUUGUUCUAUUGACCGAGCUGCUUAAUUCAUACCAGGUUCUGCUGUUGUGGGUCUAAAUGGAUUGUUCAGUUUCCUUAAAUAGCCAGGAUAAAGUCCCUUGCAUCAAAACUGCUACUUUGGAACUUUAUCCUAAUAAAGACUCCCAAAAAUAUAGAACAUUUUUUUUUUUGGUACUCAUUAAUAUUGGUGCAUAAAUAGGUAGAGGAACCCAAACGAUAAAUAGUUAAAGAACAUAAUAUAACCCAAAGUUAAAGAACCCAAACGAUAAAUAGUUAACCUAAAUUGGAUGCCUAUGAUACAUGACUCAGACCAAUCCAUCAUUAAGGGCAUCGGGCUUACCAAAAUUUGGCUUCGUAAAGUUCUUUCUCCAAGUUUUAACUUCUUCUCCUUCUCUUUUUAUAAUAUAUUUUGAUGCAAAAAUGUAGAAUUACUAAAAGACGUCUAAAAUUCAAUACAUAAAUCAAUGCUCUUCUUGUUAUUGAAUUGACUUCUGUAAUGCCAUCAAAACCAUGUUAAAAAAACUGGAGCUUUUUUUUUCCCCUUCACCCAUGAGACUAAACACUGCUGAGUAAGUUUGAAAGAAUUCAGAAACAUAACGGAUGAAAUAAUAAGCGGCAACUAAGAGGGAGAAUUAUUCAAGGUAAAAUUACAAACAUGUGCAAGUAAAUCCCGAGAAGGAGACCAUCCACAACAUAAAUGCUACUAACCUAUGAAGGCAUGAUUCUUCCGAGCCAAUACUACGCUUGUGGCGAGCGAACGCACUUUCCCUUUGAUAAGCCAACUCCUCCAGCUGUUCUUCCACAGCAAUAGGAAAAAUAUGAGGUUGGUUCUUUAAUACACCACACAAGAAGCUCCCUUCUGGCGAUUGUGGCUCAAGUGGAGUACCAAUACUUCGAGAUUCACGCCCAUUGGACUCCGCACUAGCAACCGUACUAAAUAGUGGGGCCCUUCUACUAGUAAAACUGCAGCUCUGACGAAGCUUAGAAAUUCCCUAUACAAUACAUGAAAAUACACCCAAAAGAAAAAUUAAGAGGGCGUCGAUGAAAUAAGUGUAAAAUUUGGAAGAUUUAUUUCCAAAUGGACUACAGUCCAUGGAGUCUCUGUACACUUUCUUUAACAAAAUAUCCAAUUUUCUGUACUCAGACAAACAUUUCUACUAAGAAAUUAUACUCCAAUCAAGGUAGUUGCAUGUUAGUUUAUUCUAAGAAGAUAAAUCAGAUAUCCAAUGCCUAAAAUAUGCUACAAACUAGGCGAUCGACCAAAAAAUUUCUUUAAAACCCCAUUUCUCCAUAUUAUUUGUAUCUAUCCCCCCACGUGCACUAUUUAAAUAUAAUGAAGAUGAAAUGUUGGCAGUCAAAAAACCUCCAAAAGAACCUAAAAAUCUAAAAUCCCAGAUUUAUCAUAAGAUCAAAAGCUCACAGAAGAAGAAACCAGCUCUUUUCUUUUUUUUUAAAAAAAAGCAAGAUUAUAAUCGUUGGCUUAAAUGGGCCAGCAUUUUGCCAAUGCGGCGGAGGCCAAAAUCACAACUGACCCAUAGGCACUAUGUCCAUAAUUUUUUAAGUGAAUCGGUUGCCCUUUUCUAAUAACUCGAGCUUUUGGAAACCGGUGGUUAGCACCAAAGAUCCAUAAUUUCUUCAAACAGCUUGCAUCCAUCUACGAAUUUAUCGAAUAUUCCACCACACAAACCCAAAAUUGGCGUCUUUUACAAUAAAUCAGAUCAACAGAAUGGAUUGGAAACUUGCUCCUUCCGCACAAAGGUUUCAUCUUCGCCCAUUGUAAGAGCAUAAAAAUCAAAAUAUUGGCAUCAAAAGAAGCUCCCAAUUUCGUGAUCCUCUAAAAUUUUGUUCCUUAAAAACUCCACAUUUAGCACAAUAAGCAUAUCCAUCUUUCCUGGAGAUUAUAAAGAGUUAAAAGAAAAAAAACCCGGAAACUUCGAAUUGUAACAAAGGAGGGACCAACUACAGGGCCACUUCUUCGAACACCUUGUGCGCGCCCACGAACUCGACCCAGUUCUCUACCAUAAAAACCCAAAAAGGUGGCGACUUAAAAACCAAAAUCGGAUCAAGAGGCUAGGGUUAGAACCUUGGGGGAGGACAAGGAGACGCAGAGAGAGGAGCCGAGGGAUCGGAGCUUGGGGGAAGAGCUGGUGCGAGGGACAUGGCGAGACCGAGACCCCGCGAGCCUCGCCCAUGGGGUUAGGGCUUCGGAGAGGGGCUGCGGCGUCGAUGGCGGCGGCGGUGGUGGCCUCUUCAAGAGCGCGACGCGAUCCAUCACAUACCCAAACCCUAACAGAGAGAGAGAGAGAGAGAGAGAGAGAAUGGAUUAGAGAGAGAGAGAGAGAGAGAGGAUAAGAAGGAUCCGGCAACGAAUCGCAGUCGUCGCCGGCUUUGGAUUUUAUUUUUAUUUUUAUUUUUAUUUUUUUGGUGAAAUUGUAUGGAGGCCCUCUCAACUCUGAACUUUUGUGAAAUUGGACGCAUCAACUUAUAAAUAUUUUUUUUAAAAAAAGGGUAAACUUUAAAUACCACCCCUGUAAUUUCGCACUUUCUCAUUUUAGUACUAUGUGGUUUAAAGUGUAUCAAUUUAGUAUAUGUGGUUUCAUUUUUCUCUUUUCGUCACCUCCGCUGUUAAUUUUUCGUUAAAUCAAAUAUAAAAAUUUUCAGAUACCUCACCUAUAGUCUAUCGAAUAUUCACUUUAGUUCUCUUUAAUUUUAUCUUUGUCAUUGAUUUAACAAAAAAAUUAGUGGAAAAAAUAACAAAAAGAGAAAAAUAAAACCACGGGGUACGAAAGUGAUACCGUUUAAAUCAUAGGAUACUAAAAUGAGAAAGGACAAAACCAUAGGGGUAGUUUUUGAAGUUUUUUUAAAAAAAAUAAAUAAUUUUAGUUAAGAAAUUAUGGAUUUCCAUCAAAAUUUUGACGAUUUUUGUAUCAUUUUUGUACUAACUAAAUAUAAAAUAAUUAAUCAUUAAUCAUUAAUGGAUUGCACAGCCGUAAAAUUUUAAUCAAAAAUUUUCAACUAAGGUAGCUAAAAUAUUCAAGUCUUAAAAAUAAAAACUCAAGUGAUUAACUAAAAAUCAUAUAAUUUAGGGGUCUUCGUGCAUUUUUACCAUUUCUUUUUUUUAAAAAAAACUGUCCCAGCGUGGAUGACGUGGUCCACCAAUGGCUAUGAUUGGGGCAACAUUUUGGAUCAGAGAUUAAUAUGUGAAAAGUCGAUUUUGCCCCUAACCUCAGGGGCAUAGGUUUUAGGAAACAGAUUAAUUUUUAUUUUAUUUUUUAUUUUGACUUAUCAUUCUAUUUAAAAUUUUUCAAAAUUUUUAGCUUUUCUUUUUUUUUCAGAUCCAAACGAAUUAAGAAAAGAGAGUAAAUUUUGGGAUGGAAUAUUUUUUUUGUUCACUUAUUUUUGAAUAUAAAUAUUAAAAAUAUUAUCCUAUAAAAACUUAAAUUUUUAAAAAAUAGCUGCUAUUUUUUUUAAUUUAAUAUAAUAUCAAAUCAGAAAAUUUUGAAUUCGAGUCAUGUGAGGGUCUUAGCAUUAUCAUCUUAAGAUGUGAAUGAGAAUAUUGAAUAUUAAUAUUAAAAAUAAAAAUAUCAUUCUCUAAUAUAUUAAGUUUUUAGAAAUAAUUAUUAUUUCAUAUAAUUUAAAACUUAUUAUAGUUUCAUUCGGAGCGGGUUGAAACGAAAGCUCCAUCAGCCCAGAUCCAUUUGCAUCCCUAAAUAUAGGUAAUGGCUUUUUUUUCAAUAUUUCUCACCUUUUGGCUAAGAUCAAGUGUUCUUAUUAGUAUAAUAAUUUGUGAAACCCGAGUCAUCGAACUUAUCUGAUCUGUAGAUCAUAUUGAAUCAGCUAUCUAAUCUUUCAAAAUUUUAAUUUUGUUACCGAACAUUUCAAUUUGUUUAGUUUGAGUCGGUUAACUCUACUUUGACUUCAAAUUUUAAGCCAAUUACUUACUUUAAUAAUUUAUAACUACAAGAAUUACAUGAAGUAUGUUAAUUGAAUUUAUAAAGAUAAAUAAAACAUUCAAAUUUUGAAGUCAAUUACACCACUACCAUACGAGUAAUAUAUUAUCAUUCAUUCAAUCAACUAAAUUGUACAGUAAAAUUUAAUCGCAAUAGUUUAAAAAAGUUUGAGGUAAAAAUUCUAAUAAAUUAGAAUUUUAAGAACAUCACACACUUCAUAAUUUAAGAACCAAAAGCAUAAGCUUGCAAUCCAAGACUCUGUACAUAAAAUUACACAUUUUAGCUUUGAUUUAUAAAACUUCACAGGAACUCAGACAACAUAACACAAAGUGAGAGUAGGGUUUUCGCAGCAGUAGAAAACAAACAAAUUCUUUCAUACCAAGCGUCGGCAUGAUUUUCGAUAGAUAUAAAACCAUUGGUAGUGUUACGAGUUCCGAAUCAAGUUACAAGAAGAAGAGAUGAUCAACAAAAAAGUUUACGAUGAUCCAUAGAACAUAAAUUUCUCUAGAGACUUACUACAGUUCGUCCCAGGUGAUGUGAUUUUCCGUUCUUCUACGCAAUCCGCGAAAGUCACCCUUGGCCCCUGCAAGAUAAAUGCAUAAACUUCAGCUUCAUUUCAUUAAAACAUAACUGAAAAAAGAAAUGAGAGUUUAUGGGAAGAUCGCUAACAGGGAUUCUGCAAUGUGCGUUUAGAUCAUUAAACAUUUGUCGACAACGGUUACUUGCUAUCGCCUCCGCUCGAGAGGCUCGUCGGCAAGCUCCUUGGAUAAGAUCCUGCUGUAAAUGGGAAAAACUAGUUGAGUAUAGCUUCUAAUAUGUUUGUAAUUUUGAUUUCUGAAUUCGAAUUCACUUGCAACCUUGUUGUGAUUAGUGCUGAAUACUUUUAGGACUGUAAUCUGAUUUUAUUGUUAUUGACAACAUAUAGAAACCUAAAGAACCAGUUUAUGCUCCAAUUUCUGUUUCCGCUGUUAUUUCGAACACAUGAUUAAGACAGAAGAUAGGAAGUUGUAAAAUCUGCAACCUUCCAACAGAUGUAGUUUUGUAUGCAGAUCUCGUAAACUGGGGUAAAUCUAAUGUAGGAGUGAAAACCUAUGUUUUUAGAUGUUGUGCAUAUUAUUUUAUAUUAGUAUUCAUUUUGUUGAGAAAGAGGUAACAUGCUAUAUGCUUCAUUCAAUAAGAAGAUAAAUUUAGCUACGUAGAGUAAGGCAGCCAGCUAGCCAGGCUUCAGGAAGAGAAACUAACAAGAUGAAAUUGGAAAACACACAAGAAACACAAACACAUGUAGAGAGAGUGGGUGGUACAACACUGACGUCCCCUAGCUCAACCGAAUGCGGCCCACUCCUUCGCCAGUACCUCAACACGAUGGGCAGCAGAAAAAACAUCAAAGGAUAGGUUUCGAAAAAAAAUAUUAUUACUACCACCCCAAAUUGUCCACCACAAGUAGAUCUGGCAAUCUUGACCCAAACUUGCGGGCACCCGCAGGUUACCCACAAAUUUGCGGGUACGGGUAUCAACUUUUUCAACCUAAAAAAUUACGGAUAAAACGGGUGGGUACCCAUUAAGCAGUGGACAUUUUGGGUAACCCAUGGAUACCCACGGAUACCUGCGCAUAUCUUUAUUAGUUAUAAAAUAUAUUUUCUUAAUUAAUAUAUAUUUUUUAUUUACUCAUCCUAAAAAUUCUAAUCCUAAUUUCUUAUUGCGUGUCUUUUAUAUUAUGAAAUAUUUUUGCUUUAAGACUUUAAAUAUUAUUAUUAUAUGAUAUGGUAUUUUAAACAAUGAGUUAUAUUACGCUUUUAAAACUUAUAUAUAUGUGUUUUGCAUUUAAAAAAAAAAUUUGCGGGUAACCCGCAUACCCACCCGCCCACCAGCGGGCGGGUAUGGGUAAAGAUAUUGACUACCCAAUUUGCGAGUAAAUUUUACCCAUACUCAAGUAACCCGCGGGUACAAUAACCCGCCCGCGGGUCACCGAACCCGCCCAUUUGCCAGGUCUAACCACAAGGACGCCACAAGACUCUAAGCCUUAAAACUGUCCGUUUAGUGUCCCCUUCCCCCGCAGCUCCUCCCAGAUAGUAUUAACGUCAUCGAGCGAACGAAGGGCAUGGAGCUCUUCAAGGAGCGAAACGAUGAGGUACUUAGUAACGACACAUGAGCCUAAUCACUUCUUUUCCUUGAACAAUAUAUUCAAUUAUUUUUUUAUGAACACAGACACUGAUACAGCAAGGAAUCAGGUUUGAUUCCUGUUCCAGACAAACAAUUCAACCUCAAGUCAACUCGAAGUAGUAAUCGUGUGGCGGGAUUGUUAUCCUAAAAUGUGUCUAGUGAUCUCCCAAACUGAUCAGAACUAAUUCAAAAUUUAACUCUUUACUAAAUCUAAAAUAACAGAACCUAUGUUUGAAACUAACUUGACCAGACUCAAUCCAGACUAGAUAAGACAACAAUUGAUUCAAUUAAUCGAAAAGAUUAGACUCACUCCAACAAUCAACCUGAAACCUAAUAGACUCGAUCUUCGGUUCUCUGCGUAAGCCCCUCUAUGCAAAAGUGGAGAUGGAAAUCAUACCGAGUUAUUUCCUUAUAAUACUACCUAAGUAAAACACAGCAGUAGGAACGAUUAGUUUCAUAAAGAACACAUUGCAGGAACAAAACUCACUUGAGUGAAUUGAAGAAUGCCGUAGCUUCCGCUGCCGACUGAAGGCAAAAUAGACUUCUCCACGAGAUUUCUCAGACUCGCCAACUCCUUCACUAGUCCUGCUAUUGUCUCAUCAGCCUCUUGCAUCUGCUUCCUCGAGAACUCAAAAGCCCGAUCCGCAUGUAUCCUAAAGGAAACACAGUCCAAACACAUGCAUGCCCCCUUACAUCCUCUAGUAUGCCUCUUCAAAAUCCCCCUCUUCGGAGAAAGGAGAUGCCUUUCGGAAGAAUGAACUAUAUCUGAUUUUGAUGUUACUAUUGACCUUCGAUCAAUAUCUAUAGUGGGAACAGUAUUUUUGCAGUCCGCUUUACCUUCUUUCGGCACAAUUAUAGUGGAUGGCGCGCUUCCAGCCAUUUCCUGAACUGAAAAGACUUCCGAAAAUGUAGGAGGUGAACAAACCGGUUUGUGAAGAAGCUGUGCUUCGAUAAUGGGGUCUACAAGAGAGGCCUCAGAUUCGAUUUUAGAAACUUCCAAACAUCGUCCGUUGCAUGAAUUCAUUGAUGGGUUGUCAACAAAAUCUGAGCUUGUGCACAAUUCUUCAUUUAAGGAUACUCCGCCUAAGCUGCUACGUUGAGGCGGUUGAUCAGAUAGAAGAUUUCCGGGUGGUGAUAACUGUUUUUCCUGUACAAUUCUUUCAACUUCAGCAGGAUUUUUAUUUUCGCGUGGAGGGUUCUCUGCAACACCAAAAUAAGGAGAUCCCUGAUUAUAGUGAGCUGUAAAUUAGCAUAAGAGUGAACAAGAAGGUUAGAUCUAAGCAAAACUACAGAGUAAAUUUUAAUCUAACCCUCUUUAUCGAGAUCCGUGAGAAAAGGAAGCAUUCUCCGGUAGCUAAACAGGCUCGGAUUCCGAACCAGCUUCGAUCUAGAGCAUGGAGCAAGCCCCUGGAAGUUAUUUCUACCAUUAAAUUAUAGUGCGGGAGUAACAAGACAAGAACGCCAAAUAUAAUCCAAUUCAGAUGAAUAGAAAGAACAAAACCCUAGCCCUAAUUUUAUCUCUAAAGUUCAAACUGUGUCAAAAAUAAUAGAAUAGGGUUAUACAGUUCAGGAGGAAAGCUCACAAGGUUUUUCUUAGAAGGACUAAAAGGAUCCAACUUUACACCGCCGUUAAUAUCAUUCUGAGAAUCCUUCAUCAAUCGAUCCAUGUUCGCCGUUCCUAAAUCCACAGCGACUACACACUGCGGUGGAGUGCUCUGGUUCAACACCAAAAGUGAGAAAUAUGAAACCCUAACCCCAAUUUGCUUUCCAAAGUUCAAAUUGUGCUAUGCCUAGAAAUGUAUAACAUGAAUAGAAGCACGUAUGGAUUCAAAUCAUCUUCAAAAACCUCACCUCCGUGUUCUUUGGAGAAUCAAUCACAUUCAACUUCGCAUCAUCUUUUGAAUCCAUGCUCUUCAUGCUACAAUCCACAGCGAUUACACACUCCGGCGGAGCGCGCUGUAUCAAUGCAACGUAAUAAAAUGAAACCCUAACCGUAAUUUGCUCUCGAAAGUUCAAAUCAUGCAAUGCACACAGCACAAAAGCAUAAAUAUUUAAUAUAGAUGAUAUUCAAAAAUCUCACCGAUCCACUCUUCGGAGGAUCAAUUGAAUCCAACUUGUCGCCAUCCUUUAGAUCCCCUCUCUUAAUCCCAAAAUCCACAGCGACUACGCUCUCAGGCGCAGAGCUCUCAUUUGAACUAUUAUCAAAUCCAUUAGAUCCAUGAAAACUCUUCGAGAUCUCAUCAACCCCACCCUGUCCCCUCUCUUCACCCACCGAAUCGUCCCCUGAUCCGAUCUUACCCGUUCGAUCCGGGGAAGCCUCCUCCUCGACGGAGACAGAGGCUGGGGAGAAGACGCGCCUCAGUCGCAGAUCCUUGACGAGGUUUCCUCCAUGGAUGGGUGGUGGAGAGGUGGUGGAGAGGCGGCGGAGGAGGAGGUGAUGGCGAAGUGGGGCGGGGUCGGGGCGGGCGAGGCCGGAUCGAGUGCGGUGGAGGAAGAUCUCGGAUCUGCUCCGGGUGAAGGCGCCGCCAUGGGAGGGCGAUGGCGAUGGCGAGGGUUCCGUCCUCCUCUUCGGCAUGGAUUGGGAUCGAGCGCUAGGGUUUAGGGUUUCGGGGAGGCGAAGGAGAGGACGAGGAAGAAGGACAAGGGGAAUGGUUUUGGCGGGAAAGAUAUGGAGCGGGAAAAGAGUCUUUUCGCGGCAAUCGAGUAUGCUUUUUCCCUGAACCCGGUUCACCACGUCGGCCAUGGACCGACCAAUCAUAUUCUCUUACGUGGCUCGAUACCAUUAAUUCGCGAAAUCAACACAACUCAUUAAAAAAAGUUUCACUCUUUUUCAUAAAUUCAAAUUUCUUUUUAGGAUAAAUUUGUAUAUAUAAUUUUUAUAAAUUUUACAAAGUGCACCCUAUAUAGUAUAACGGUUACAAAAAAAAAAAAAAAAAAAAAAAUCAUUAUAAUCUAUAGAUUAAACCUAAAGUUCAGGACUAAGUUCUUAUUCAGAUAUAUAUAGGUUUCAAAUUUUUGACCUCAAAAUAAACAACAUAAUUUUUUACCGCUAUAUAGUUUAUAAUUUCGUAAUUUCACAACCAAAUCAUAAGGAGACCUCUCAACUAUAAGGCUUCGCUUGGGAUUGCGAGGAGAUUGCGUUACGUGCGGUGAGAAACGACGAUGGAAAAAUAGUACGUAAUAUUGCAUUUCGCAUAUCGCGAUGAGUCAGUUACGAUAUAUAUUUUACAGUCCCACCGGAGAACACAGAAGCAUCUCCCUAUAUACUUUUUCCUCAACUCAAUUUUAUCUAAUAGCGUUAGAUAGAUCUCAAUACCAAACUAAGCCUAAGUCAUUCCAAAAUAACUUCUUUAGCUUUUAUUCUUUUUGAAAUUAAAUAAUUUUAGUAAAUUUAAAUUGCAUUAACUACACAACUAUAUAAAUGUGUUACCCAUGAGUCCAAUCCUAAGUUUUACAAUAACAAGUAUUAUCUAAUACAGUUGGUUGUUAACCUGGAGAGCUUUAGGCUUUUUAAAUUAUAAAAAAACAAAAAAAUUCGUGCUGAAACUUUUUAAAUUAUAAAAGUAACAUCUAUUGUGGGGGCUUUUUGGAUAAGAAGCCGAUACGCAAGUUCGAAAAUUGUAUCAUUUUUCAUCAAUCCGAUUUAGCAAAGUGCAAAUCGUAUAUAAAACCUUAAGGGGGUGUUUGGUUUGAUGUAAAAAUGGAUGGAAAAGAAAUUUUCGGUGGAGAAAUGAUUUGCAACUUGUUUAUUUCGCCGUAAAAAAAUGUUUCGGGAAAAAUAGUCUUACGUAUUUGAGGAAAAAUUUUUAUUUUCGUUUUCCGCGUGUGAACGGCGAAAAACGAAAACGCCGAGCAAGGAGCCAAAAUCGCGGCCCAUGGGGCGGGGCUUUUUCACGGGGUCCACGAGGCCACUUCGGUCUCGUGGACUGCAUGAGAGGGAGGUCCACAGUGGACCACCCUCUUUAUAUAUAUAUAAGUGGCUUCGUGGACCGCAUAAAAGGGAGGUCCAUGGUGGACCACCCUCUUUACAUAUAUAUAUAUAUAUAUAUAUAGUAUUUUAUUUUUACAUAGAGAUAUUAUAAUUAUUUAUUAAUAUUUAUAAAUAUAUAAAUCUUAUAUAUUUUGUAUUAUGUUUAUUAUAAUUUUAAAUAUAUUUAAUAUAUACAUAUAUAUAUAUAGAUAUUAUAAUAAUAAUAUAUAUAGUAUAUUAAUUAUAGCUGGGGCUACUAUACUCUUAUGAGUAUAGAUCCCCUUGUACUCAUAAAUUUUUAACCGUUGAUUGAUGGGAUGUGUGGUUAGGAUGAUAGUGAUCCCCACUUAGAAUGAUAGUGGUCCCCUAGGGUAGAGUGGGUAGUUGGUUUAAUAGUAUGAUCUAACGAGUGGAAAUGAUCAAUGAAAUAAAUCUAAGGACUAAGGGCCAAAAACUUAUGAGUAUAGGAAAGCCACUACACAUAAAAGUAUAGUAGCCGGACUCUAUUAAUUAUUAUAUAUUAUUAAUAUAUAUAAUAAAAAUAUAUUAAAUAAUUUUUUAUCUUUUUUUUUUUUAUUUCAACCAAACAAUCCUUUACAGAAAACCUUUUUUUUUUUCAAUAAACCAAACACUAAAUGACGUAAAAUUUUUUUUCCACAAAAUUUUUUUUCCACCGACAAUUAUUUUUUCACAGUUUUACGUGGAACCAAACACACCCUAAACUAGUAACAUUUUUUAAU
rnacentral:lncRNA from 1 species